rnacentral:lncRNA from 1 species
UGGUUGGUGGUCGGACUGAGCGGAGGCAUGGGGAUUGACGACGCCGGCAGCGGCCACUAGGCCAGUUUGUUCCAGAGGCUUCCUUUCUUAAUUGCUCAACAAUGAGGUUUGUUGGAGAUAAGGAUGAACGAGGGAAGGCCUUGUCUGCAAAUGUGGAGAGGGGUGCGGGUAUCUUUUAGUUUAAUUUCCAUCCGCCAGAUAUAGAUCGGACGGUCUAUAUUGCAAGAUGGCACACGUACCAUCAUCACCAACUCAGUUUUUUAUAAGAGAAGAAAUAUAAGUAUGGAGAUACAAACGUAUUAUCGAUACUUGCUUCCGUAAACUAGCAUCUACAUUCUAUUCAACGCCUCGGCACGUGGGGCCUUAGCACAAUGACUUCUCGACUGUGUAAAACAAAGAUUUUCCCGUCGCCGAUAAGGAGGGGGUGAUGGCGGCGCGCUUUUUGGCUUGCUCUAGUCCUAGUAGUCAUACUAGGUGGUCUAAGCACGUGUAGAUUUAUUCUUUUUCACGUCUCAUGUUCGCCGUACUGCCACGACUGUUGAUGAAUAGACGGUAAGUUAUUCACGGGGAAACCCUUGUUGAGCGUGUUUGCGAGAGAGAGAGACAGUGUGCGUGUGUGAUAUGUUAGAGACAGAGGCAAUGAUAACAGAUUCUUUGUGUCUAUGUGUGUGGAGGAUAGAGAGAGACAUGUACAUGGGGCUUUGUGUUGUGUAACGUGGAGACACAUAUACAUAAUUAGAGAGUGAGUGUAUGAGAUACACAUGCGGACAUGAGGAGAGAUGAGGAUCCAGAUAAAUGGGUGUUUGUGCGUGUCUGUGUGUGUUUGUGCACGCGUUUGUGUGUGAGAGGGAGAGAGUGUAUCUGGAGUAGAGAGACCACUGAUGAUGUAAACCUAGUAUAAGGGAAGGGGGAAUGGUGUGACAUGUGUAGUAGUGAGAUAGCACGGGUGCGGGCGGGGGGAGCAGACUAUUUGGAAGAGACAUCGAGUGUGUGUGUGGGCGAGGGGUGUGAGAGCGAGGGAAAGAGAGAGCUAGCGACGGAGAGAGAGAGAGAGAGGAAGAGAGGGGGCGAGAGGGUCGUUUGUGUCCAUAAAUGGCGUAUAGAUAGGGAGACAAUGUUGAUGUUGUCCGAAAUUGGCCUAUGAACGGAGACGCAAGGGAAGCGAGUCAUCGUGUGUGUGAUAGGGACUUCAUGAGAGAUCUAGAAUAGAUGGUGUAGAGAACAAUGUGCGAAAUCGAGAACGAUUAUACAUUAGGGAGCUAUGCAAAGAGUCACGACAUAUAUGUAUACAGGGAAGGAGCUGGGGCGGGUCCGCAUGUGGGAGAGGUAGAAAGAGGAGAGUGGUGCACAAGGAGACAAAGUGUGCUUGUUUGCAAUGGGGGUGGUGUGUGAGGUGAGUGCGUGAGAACAACAUGACUAGGGAGAUAGACGUUUGGGGGCGACGUUUUGUGUGUAUGGGAAAUAUACACUCUACAUAGUGCGUGUGCUUGGGUAAGAGAGGUGGCGGGAGACCUAGAGAGUGAGGGAAGAGAUGUGUGCGUGCCCGAGAGACAAAGUGAUAGAGACCUAUGUUGGGGUCCGGACUUUACAAGAGAGAGGGGUGUUAAUGUGCUCGUGCGUUGGUGUUUGGGGGAGAGAACGACUUCUCUAUGUGUGUGUGUGUGUGUGUGUGGUGGGGGGGGGUUGACUUCAGAUAAAGAGUGAGGUGUCUAUAUUUGAGGGACUUUAGCGUAAUUGAGAUAUUGUGCACUCAUGGUUGUACUAUGAGAUAACAAUACUUUUGAACAUGCGUGAUAUACCUUGAUGUACCAGAAUUACAAACCUAAGAUUGGAAUUUUGGAAUUCGACUCUAUCAUUAGCUUUUGUAAUUCAUUUAAACGGAGGUACAUUUUUUAAGCCGGGAUUUUGUGAUUUCAAAUUCAUAUAUCAAACCUAGAGAUAUACACAUACGGGCAUGUUCAAACUUUAUAAUCAUCCACUUUAUUCAUAUACAUAUACAUUUUUGCUUUUGUCAUCAUAUUUAGGAUAAACACAUUUGGAAUUUCAUUUGAAUUGGACCGUAUGAUGGUAUUUGCUUGUAGUAGCUCAAUGAUCCAUAUUUGAAUUGAAUGGACAACCUAAGUUUCGAGUUGGAGACAUUGAUUUUCAAAACUUGCACAUUUUUUGCAUGCAAAACAAACAAAUUGUCGGCCAUGAUAUCAUAGUCGGCCGUACGAGAGCAGAAUACUUAUAAUUUUAGGCGCCAAAAGCUUUCAAACUUCCCGCUCACAUCGAAAUAUCAUGCGCCCGAAAGUUUAGCCCUGAGAUAUUCCUGUUUUACCCCUGCCACAUGAACGGAAAAGGGCUGCUUUGGUAACUCCAUUGUUUUCCCCUCUUUGCCCCCAACAUUCUUCCCCAGAGCCCCUCCCCUUCCCCUCCCCGACCCCCCAACCACGGCAAGCCGCCGAAUCUAGUCCUCCGCCGCAGCGGUGGACCUCACACCCCGCCGGAUCUACCUUCCGCACCUUGGAACCCCCAACUGCCAACUCACCACUUCACCGGAGCCGCUUCAGCGACUGGCUUGUCCACCGCUCCAGAUCUCCUUGACCGCCAUCAUGGUCCACCGCACCGGAUCUGCUUAACCGGCGCCCUCGUCCACCACAGCGUAGGCCCUUCACCAACUCCCUCGUCCGCCCCUUCGCUGGCCCUUCAUACAAGCCCCCGUCUGCCGCAACAGAUCCGCCUCACCGAAAGCACUGUACAACGCGCCCGCCGAAGCCUUCGUCCACUGCACCGGACCCGCUCCACGGAUGCCAUAUUCAACUCCACCGGCCCAGCUUUACCGACGCCGUAGCCUCACCAGGUUAUUUCAAUUUGUACUCCUUCGGUUUUUCGCUUUAUCGUGCAACUGUUCACUUACCACAGAUGAGCUUUCUUGUAUGUCGACAGGCGCGGCAACCGUAGCACCGGAGCCGCUUCAGCGACGGCGACAGCCGGCCCAAACUCAAUCGCAACACGAGCACCAUCGACGAUCCUUAGCUAUCAAGUAUGACAACGAUACCCAUACGCCGCGGAGAAUCAGGUACUAUUAUCCAACGGCCGGCGCCUACAUUCACUUUCCUACCAUAAGCACCGCACCUUUGAAUUUCUUCAGGGCAUCAUUCAGUUUUUCAUGAGACGCGUUAUUCUGCUUGCACCUGUAGGGCCAUACUUCUGGCAGUGAACAUGUUACAUGUGCUAAAUUACAUACCAGUGCAUGUAUAGUUAAUAUGCUUUAGUUUUGUUCUGAUGCCACCUGUUGGUUCCAUCAGACUGCUUAAUGUUCUCUAUGCUUAAUUACACAUCAGCAAACUAGCAUGUGGUUCUGCUGCUUUUUGUUCGUUUUACCCUACAUUUUCUGAUGCUAGUUAUUACAUCACUGCUCCGAGCCUCUGUUCAUUACUUGUUUGUGUGUUCUUGAUCUUCCCAAGUUGCAUGACUAAUUUGAUGCUUCUAUUAAUUAUGGAGCUGCCAACCCCAUCAAGCAAAAUAUUAGUUCUUUUGGGGCUGGCACCUCGAACAAGCAUAAAAAUAGAGGGAAGCAGAUAUAUUGUCGUGUAUGCACACACCCUUCUUUCAUUAGUUUAGAUGAACCAUUGAUGAUCAAUUCGGACCAGUGCAUGCAAUUAAAAUUAAUUUUACCUAAAUAGAUGGUGCAGAAUAAACUACAACAACUAGAUUUGCAACCACGGGAUGCUGACGAUAUCUUCAAAGAACAUUGCAACAGCAGCUAGGCUUCACAGCAACAUAUGGUAAGCCAGUGUGUUUUAGUACAUGUGAAAUGUAAUGCGAGUGGGCUGCUUUCUUGGCUUGUGCCCUCAACGUGUAAUCCUACCGAAUUACAAAUAGUUCAGUUGUCUGCUUUGCUGUAUUGCUUGAUUCGAAUGCUUAUUUGUUGUUACGCUAUACCUGAGUUGGCCAAUAUGUUAGUAGUGCCUGCUGUACUAUCGUAAAGAAAUGCAUGCCUAUUUCAUUUGAGUCCUUAACUUUUCCUCUCAACUUCAUCACAAGACUGUCUUUGUAGUUUAUAUGAGGCCACACUAUUAAGUGCUUUCUCAGAUUAUUUCAACUGCUUCGAUGCCUUGGCAACUUAAAUAUAGCGGUUGUACACUCCCUUUCAACUAGGGAUGUCAACUGGGUCCCGUUUAAUCUUGAUUAAAGUCCACUAGUGGUAUGAUAGUUCAAAAGAGUUUUUGUUUUUUGAGGAAAAUGAACUAGGGAGGUAGCAAAAACUAACUAGAUGGGACUCGCGGGUGUCGUUUAUUUGCCACUUACAUCCCUAGUUUCAUCUUACCAUUUUAAUUUCUUUUCAGCUGAUGCUGCUUCGAACCAUUUAAAUAUAGUUUGCCAUGCUCGGCAAUAAUUCGUCUGUCGUUUACCAUGUAAGCUUACUGCCUGGAUAAUACGAUAACUAUCUCUUACUGAUGUCUAGCAGAAACCUUUCAGGAUGCCGUUCACAUUAGGACACAAUGUACAACCCCAGAAUCUAUUUGUGGAAGCAGUGCGCCAUCCAUGUUACCAGAUGGUAGCAGUUCAGAGGCAACACCGCCGGAGAGCAGUCUGAGCACAGAUAUUAUAGUGCUUGAGGCUCUACUAGAGGCAGAAAGAGAUGGUGUGGCUGCCAUGAAUGAGGUAAUCUUUAUCUUGAGGCUGGAAAUUACGGAAUUAGCGGCACGCAUUAUGCAAGCAACCCAAGAAUUGGAGGAAGUAAGAAUGUUGCAUUUGAAGACGGAGGAGGUCCUGCUGUUUCUGCUAUCUGAAGCCCAAGGUAAUCCCGGUUCUUCUUUAGAUACCAGUUGAAAUUGUCAUUAGAUUAUUGUACUUGCAUGUUGUGUCAUGUCUCUGAAUGGAUUAUGUUGCAAGACCCCCUAUGUUGUCCAUGUGUUGUAAUGAUCCGAAUUUUUUAGGCGAGGUAAUCCUCAGUACUUGUAUGAUUGACAUAAGGUGAACUGUUUUUCGUGUGAGCAUAUUGUAUUGGAUGAAAUAACUGUUUGACUCAGAGUGUAUCCAACCUACUGAAUUCGAAGAUCAUGGCAUUUCUAAAUCAUAAUCAUAUAUAAAGGUGGAAUAAAUCUUUGUUGUGGUUUUGAAGAAAUAAAUAACAAAACGUAUAAUUAUCUGUAUAUAUUCGUAAUCGAAUACAAAUUGGAUUUGAAUUUAGUUUGCCAGGUCCCAGGGCAAACGUGAAUGCUAAUUCUCCCAAGUUUUGAACGAAGCGGCUAAACACCCACUAUAAUUUGUGGGCUGCCAGAAGCAAGUGUUUGCGAGAUGGAAAUUACUGUCUACCCCUGACACUUGACAUCCUUAUUGACCGGAUUUACACUGCUGUCAAUAGGGGUAGACUAGUAACUUCAAUUAGACGUGACACGAUGGCCUCUGAGCCCAUUCAGACAUGGUGGGCGCCAAACGUGGGCGGCAAAACACAUUUGAUUCAAGCUCGUCCGAAAUACAUGUGUCUCUUCCUCCAUUUCCCCAUUCAUACACGGUGGGCGGCAAAACAAACUCUCCUCGUCCGAAAUCGAUGUAGGCUAAUAUUUUAAAUAGGGGCAGAUGUGUAACUUCCAUCAGACGUGACACAACCGCCCUACCUGUCAGGCCCGUUCAUACACCGUGGGCGCCAACCGUGGGCGGCAAAACACCCUCUCCUCGCCCGAAAUAGUUACCGGCAAAUAUUUGGGAGAUGCGAGAUUACCGUCCUAUCCCCAACCGACGCGAUAUCCGAAAUUUUAAACGGGGGAUAAGUUCGUAACUUUCCCCCAUUUCAGAGAAGCGCGUCCCAAAGUUUGAGAUCCCCCCUCCCCUCCAUUUCCCCAUUCAUACACCGUCGGCGGCACGACAACCUCCGCACUGCGGCCAGCCUCCUCCGUCCGCCACCCCAUCCUCCACCUUGCCGGAGCCGCUACCCCUACCCCGUCGUCCACUGCAAGAGAUGGACGUCUCUCAUCCACGGCGCUGGACCAGGAUCCUUUCAUCGCCUCCUCUCGCUUCAUCGGCGCCGUCGUUCACCUUGCCGUUGCCGCUCCUACGACCGCCUCGUCCACGGCAACAGGAUAUAUCCCCCGACCCGGCCGUCUGCCGUCUAACGUCUUCUUCCCCGCCGCCGACAGCCAUCGCACCCGCAGCACCCUCAACGUAUCAGCAUAGGCCUACACGGCGUCGCAAGACAGGUGGUACUCUUCCAUAUGUGCUUAAGUUAUUGAUCUCACCCGAAAAAUAGAUCGUAAUUUGUUUACUGUACUUUUCUUGUCCAUACCAAAUCGUAGUGGCUAGUUGAAAGCAACAUUGGUUGCGAAGUAGCUUUGUCCGAUUUGCACCUUCAGAUCCGCCAUGGCACGGGCACUAUACUCGUAAAGCUUAUGGUUUCCCCCUUUAUAUUCACUACCAUCAUCGUAGGUGCUUUGUGUCGUGCUAGCACUGCUCCUCAAGACCUCAACCCAAAGCUUACGUGUUGAAAUACGAAUCUGAUAUGAUGCUAUCACUAAAACAAAGAACGUUUAAUUGGUCACCUAAUGUUCCUAUAUUCAUUUCGAAAAGCAUGUGCGCCACCCACUGGUCCAGCUAGUUCCACUUUCCUGAUUUUUCUCUUGAUGCUUAGGGUUUUCCCCUUUUAUCUACUCUACUAUGAUCUGCGUAGGUGCUUUCUGUCGUACUAGCAUUACUCCACCCUUCAAGCUAAACAACACAACACUCAGAAUUCGAAAGCUUAGUUGUUCAAAUAUGAUUGUGAUAUGAUACUGAUAUUAGUUAACCGACACAUUUAAUUGGUUAGCCAAAGGUCCCACUUGAGUUUCCAAAUGCAUGUCGCGACAUAUAGAGAGACAGCAUAAUUGCAUUUCUUUGUCACUUGUUGACCGUACUUUCUUGUCCAUACCAAAUCUUAGUUGUUAUUUCAAAGCAAACAUCGGUUUCUAACUACCCUUUGCACGGUUUGCAGCUUCAGAUCUGCCAUCCCACUGCCACGGUCAACACUGUACUCAUCAUGCUUAUGUUUUCCCCAUUUUAUGAUGACCACAAUCAGCCUACGUGGUUCGUGUCGUAAUAGCACUGCUCCACCCAUCGAGCUAAACAAGCUUAGUUGUACAAAUUCAUAUAUGAUAUUAUUGCUAAUAUUAGUAAAACUGAGAGAUGUUUAAUUGGUUAGCUAAAUGUUCCUACUUUAGUUUCGAAAUGCAUGUGAGCCACAUAUGGAGAGACCGGAAAGAAUAGUAUUUCUCUGUGCGCUCUGGUUCAUCAUGGGUGGCCAACCGACAUUGUAUUGAAAGACUUGUAAUAUCUUCAAUCUGCUUGCUCUUCUGCUCUUCUUUAAGAUGAUACUCUUCUCUUGCGGUCGACUAGUCAGGUCGAGUUGUUCUCCCUUAGUAUAUUUUGAAUCUGUCAGGUCAGGUCGACUUGUUCUUCUUUACUAUAUGUUGAAGCUAUCAUCUGCGAAGUGUCAUCACUUCUGGAGCUCUCAUAUUUUGAGUAGUAGGCCACAUUAUAUUAAUGCACACAACAAAUUACAGCAUGCAUGGCUUCUUUUAAAAGAAUUGCAGAGAUAGCACAAAGGGGUUUACAGGGAGGCAGUAUUGGAUUAGAAUCACUUCUGCAUUACAAAGAAAAUCUCACUUGUUUUUAUGUUUUCAUGCAUGUCAGAUAUUCAACAUUAUCAAAAUGAAUAUGAGAAUGGGCGCACGAGAGGAAUAUUGCAGAACGAUCCACUGGCUAACAAACUUGGCAUGGUGGAGGAUGGCCUAUCUUAUUCACCCAUCAAGGUGCUUGCUCUAACUUUGCAAAGUUGUAUUGGUCGCACAUAUUUUGCAUCUGACCUCUUGCAUUACUUCUACUUUGUUACACCAUCUGCUUAGUUUAAGCAUCAUAUAUGAGUAUAUGCCAUACCUAUCCAUUUUCUGUACCUAUUCCAUGUGUCGUCACACUAUGUUUUUUCAGUCAAAUGUUGUUCUUUCGUAAUAGAUGUCCAAAAGGAAGAGGGUGACUGCUGAUCCUCAAGGAGUACAAACUAGGUAUUUGGAAAAGGUAGUGAUACCUAUUAAAUCAGAUAGAUCAGCAGCCACAGAAAACACAGGCCCAACUGUACCACACUUUACCCCUACUCCAGUGGCCAAACCCCUAUUAGAACUGCUGGGAGCCCAGCGUCAGGUACUGUCUAUGAUAUCAAUUCAAAAUUUGAACUCCUAAAUUUCUGCUUGUGCCUUACCUUCUCUCUUGUAUGAAAACUAAUUUCAGAUGAAUCUCCUUGCUCAAAGGAUCAUACGAUCUCAAAACAAUAAUGGGCUCUGCAUUGCUCUUGUCAGUACCUCUCUCCCUUUUGCCUUGGAACGCUGUACUUAAUUAAUUGCUAUUUGAUUAUGUAUCAUCAGUCUGCACCUGAGCUUCAUUAUCCUCUGUUUCUUCCAAUAUUAUUUAAUCUAUAUUUACUCUUUGCAAAAUGUAGAAUAAUGGCAACGCUUAUAAAGAAUUUUCUUUGGGGAAUUUAUUGAAUUAUCCUUCCAUCAACAUGGAGAAGGGCUUUGUCCAGCCCGUGUUAACAUGUAAUGUAAGUUCAUCCUUCUCAAGCCUUCAAACUUUGUUCUAGUAUAGAUUUGGAUAGGCAUCAUUUCCUCCACUGUUGUUUGCUUUGCUGUUUACAUCUGAUUGGAUGUUUGCAACAACUACCAGUUUCAAAUUAUAGUUGUAAAAACAUGUUCCUUAUGCAGAAUAGAUCCAUUUAUUUGCUUAUAUAAUUGUGAAACCUGUUACGUGUCUCCUUGUUUCUAUUUCAGACUCGUAUCUCUUACGCCAGGCAGAACUUUAGGGAAGAUAGUGAGCCAAACCAUCUUGAGGACAGCGAGAUGACCCCAAGGUCCUGUCUUGAUGAAGACAGUGAGUUGAAGCUACUCACCAGCAGGUGUGAGACAACCUCUGUGCAGUCGCUGCCUCAAUCAGUUCGACUUCUUCAGUCUCAACUUAAAGCGGAAAGGCUUGCUUCAGCUCAGCUCCUAGUUGAAGUCAAAGAUGCAAUGAAGAUGUCAGAGGACUGCCGUGCGCACCAUCAUGCCUUAAAUCUAGUGUUGAUGCAUCGUUGACACAACUGAGGUCUACUCAGCUUCUUCAGCUGUUUGGGGGGCCCGACGUGGCCAGGCCUAGUGCCUUCUGAAGUGCUCCCAGUUUUGUAUAUUCUUUUGUCGGCGCGUUUAUUUGCACCGGUGGCGAACUUUGAUGCCCAGUGGAUGUAAUAUGUGUGAUAGCCGUGAUAGCCCAGCGUAAGUUGCUUGCUUAUUUAUUUCCUUGUUGUCUUGUUUAUUUGUUUGCUUGUAGUCAUUGCAGUUCUUUUUCCGCGGUUUGCUAGUGGCUGCAAUAACCUAUUUUUUAAAACUAGGCCACAAUAACCAUGGGCUAAUAUUUACUGUAGUGACACUGGGCCUCCAACGGGCCGUAGAAACAGUGGGCCUUCUACGGGCCGUAGAAACAGUGGGCCUUCUACGGGCCGUAGAAACAAUGGGCCUUCUACGGGCCGUAUCAUCAAUGGGCCUUAUACGGGCAGUAUGAUCGAUUGGCCAAACAUGGGCCAAUAACAGGCCGCAUUAUGGCCGUAAACGGGCUAGAGUUGGAAUCGCCCGUUCAUGGGCCAACCUUAACGGGCCAUCGUUAAUAGGCCAUAUUUGAUGACGCUAUGAAAACGGCCCAACGUAUUAACGGACCACAAAAGGGCCGACUGUAACCACGGGUUGAAUUUGGCCCACAAGCAGAAAAUGACAGUAACGGGCCGUAAGUAAACGAAUGCGGGAAAUGAGCCCAAGUAUAAAUGGGCUCUGAGAAGGCCGAAAGAUAACAUGGGCUGGAAACGGCCCAACGGAAUAACGGGCUGUUAAUGGGUAUAAAGUGAUACACUGUUCAUUACGGGUCAGUUUCACCACGGGCCGUUAAUGGGUGUAAAGUGAUACACUGUGUUGGGGAUCGUAGCAGAAAUUAAAAUUUUCUACGCAUCACCAAGAUCAAUCUAUGGAGUUUACUAGCAAUGAGAGGGGAGGAGUGCAUCUACAUACCCUUGUAGAUCGCGAGCGGAAGCGUUCAAGAGAACGGGGUUGAUGGAGUCGUACUCGUCGUGAUCCAAAUCACCGAUGAUCCAAGCGCCGAACGGACAGCACCUCCGCGUUCAACACACGUACGGAGCGGUGACGUCUCCCACGCCUUGAUCCAGCAAGGAGGAGGGAGAGGUUGAGGAAGAAGGCUCCAACAACAGCACGACGGCGUGGUGGUGGUGGAGUGACAGUUCUCCGGCAGGGCUUCGCCAAGCACACGCGGAGGAGGAGAGGUGUUGGGGAGGGGAGGGGCUGCGCCUUGGAUGUGGUGCUGCAGCCCUCCCCUCACCCCUCUAUUUAUAGGGAGAAGGGGGAAGGGGGCCAGCCCCUCUAGAUGAGAUCUAGAGGGGGGACGGCGGCCAAGGGGGGAGGGAGCUUGCCCCCCCAAGCAAGGGGGGCCCCCCCUUUAGGGUUCCCCCCAAACCCUAGGCGCAUGGGCCCUAAGGGGGUUGGCUCACAGCCCACUAAGGGCUGGUUCCCUUCCACCUACAGCCCAUAAGGCCCUCCGGGGCAGGUGGACCCUCCCGGUGGACCCCCGGAACCCCUCCGGUGGUCCCGGUACAAUACCGGUAUACCCCCGAAUAUUUCCGGUGACCGUAUGGUGACCUCCCAUAUAUAAAUCUUUACCUCCGGACCAUUUCGGAACUCCUCGUGAUGUCCGGGAUCUCAUCUGGGACUCCGAACAACAUUCGGUAAUCACAUACAAACCUUCCUUAUAACCCUAGCGUCAUCGAACCUUAAGUGUGUAGACCCUACGGGUUCGGGAAUCAUGCAGACAUGACCGAGACACCUCUCUAGCCAAUAACCAACAGCGGGAUCUGGAUACCCAUGUUGGCUCCCACAUGUUCCACGAUGAUCCCAUCGGAUGAACCACGAUGUCGAGGAUUCAAGCAAUCCCGUAUACAAUUCCCUUUGUCAAUCGGUACUUUACUUGCCCGAGAUUCGAUCGUCGGUAUCCCAAUACCUCGUUCAAUCUCGUUACCGGCAAGUCACUUUACUCGUUCUGUAAUGCAUGAUCCCGUGACUAACUACUUAGUCACAUUGAGCUCAUUAUGAUGAUGCAAUACCGAGUGGGCCCAGAGAUACCUCUCCAUCAUGCAAGUCUGUCAAAGUCCAUACUUUGUUUUCAUACAUGGAUCCUAUCUCGGAUUGCAUGGCUUCAAGCCAUUUGUUGGAAUCUGGACCCGCCAUUGCUUCUUCAUAGUUCGAAGGUUCACCACUGUCCAACAACAUGAUUUCCAGGACAGGGUUGCCGUACCACUCUGGUGCGGAACGUGUCAUUGUGGACCUACGAAGUUCAGUGGUAACUUGAUCAUGAUCAUCAUCAUUCACUUCCUCUCUAGUCGGUGCAGGCACCACAGAAACAUUUUCUUGUGCUGCGCUACUUUCUGGUUCGAGAGGGGUCAUCUCAUCAAGUUCCACUUUCCUCCCACUUACUUCUUUCGAGAGAAACUCUUUCUCCAGAAAGGACCCGUUCUUGGCAACGAAGAUCUUGCCUUCGGAUCUGAGGUAGAAGGUAUACCCAAUAGUUUCCUUAGGGUAUCCUAUGUAGACGCAUUUUUCCGACUUGGGUUCGAGCUUUUCAGGUUGAAGUUUCUUGACAUAAGCAUAACAUCCCCAAACUUUAAGAAACGACAGCUUAGGUUUCUUUCCAAACCAUAAUUCAUACGGUGUCGUCUCAACGGGUUUCGACGGAGCCCUAUUUAAAGGGAAUGCGGCAGUCUCUAAAGCAUAACCCCAGAAUGAUAGCGGUAGAUCGGUAAGAGACAUCACAGAUCGCACCAUAUCCAAUAGAGUGCGAUUACGAUGUACGGACACACCAUUACGCUGAGGUGUUCCAGGCGGCGUGAGUUUUGAAACAAUUCCACAUUUCCUUAAGUGUGUGCCAAAUUCGUGACUCAAAUAUUCCCCUCCAUGAUCUGAUCGUAAGAACUUUAUUUUCCUGGCAUGUUGAUUCUCAACCUCACUCUGAAAUUCCUUGAACUUUUCAAAGGUCUCAGACUUGUGUUUCAUUAAGUAGACAUACCCAUAUCUACUCAAGUCAUCAGUGAGGGUGAGAACAUAACGAUAGCCACCGCGAGCCUCAACGCUCAUUGGACCGCACACAUCAGUAUGUAUGAUUUCCAAUAAGUUGGUUGCUCGCUCCACUGUUCCGGAGAACGGAGUCAUUUUGCCCAUGAGGCAUGGUUCGCACGCGUCAAAUGAUUCAUAAUCAAGAGACUCCAAAAGUCCAUCUGCAUGGAGUUUCUUCAUGCGUUUGACACCAACGUGACCAAGGCGGCAGUGCCACAAGUAUGUGGGACUAUCAUUAUCAACCUUACAUUUCUUGGCAUUCACACUAUGAAUAUGUGUAACAUCACGUUCGAGAUUCAUUAAGAAUAAACCAUUGACCAGCGGGGCAUGACCAUAAAACAUAUCUCUCAUAUAAAUAGAACAACCAUUAUUCUCGGAUUUAAAUGAGUAGCCAUCUCGCAUUAAACGAGAUCCAGAUACAAUGUUCAUGCUCAAAGCUGGCACUAAAUAACAAUUAUUGAGGUUUAAAACUAGUCCCGUAGGUAAAUGUAGAGGUAGCGUGCCGACCGCGAUCACAUCGACCUUGGAACCAUUCCCGACGCGCAUCGUCACCUCGUCCUUCGCCAGUCUCCGCUUAUUCCGCAGCUCCUGCUUUGAGUUACAAAUAUGAGCAACCGCACCGGUAUCAAAUACCCAGGAGCUACUACGAGCGUUGGUUAGGUACACAUCUAUAACAUGUAUAUCGCAUAUACCUUUGGUAUUGCCGGCCUUCUUAUCUGCUAAGUACUUGGGGCAGUUCCGCUUCCAGUGACCGUUUCCCUUGCAAUAAAAGCACUCAGUCUCAGGCUUGGGUCCAUUCUUUGUCUUCUUCCCGGCAGCUUGCUUACCGGGCGCGGCAACUCCCUUGCCAUCUUUCUUGAAGUACUUCUUAUCCUUGCCUUUCUUGAACUUAGUGGUUUUAUUCACCAUCAACACUUGAUGUUCCUUUUUGAUCUCCACCUCCGCUGAUUUCAGCAUUGAAUAUACCUCAGGAAUGGUCUUUUCCAUCCCCUGCAUAUUGAAGUUCAUCACAAAGCUCUUGUAGCUAGGUGGGAGCGACUGAAGGAUUCUGUCAACGACCGCGUCAUCCGGGAGAUUAACUCCCAGCUGAGACAAGCGGUUGUGCAACCCAGACAUUUUGAGUAUGUGUUCACUGACGGAACUAUUCUCCUCCAUCUUACAACUGUAGAACUUGUCGGAGACUUCAUAUCUCUCGACCCGGGCAUGAGCUUGGAAAACCAUUUUCAGCUCUUGGAACAUCUCAUAUGCUCCGUGCUGCUCAAAACGCUUUUGGAGCCCCGGUUCUAAGCUGUAAAGCAUGCCGCACUGAACCAGGGAGUAAUCAUCACUACGUGACUGCCAGGCGUUCCGAACGUCUUGAGUUGCUGGGAAAACAGGUGCAUCACCUAGCGGUGCUUCAAGGACAUAUGCUUUCUUGGCAGCUAUGAGGAUAAUCCUCAGGUUACGGACCCAGUCCAUGUAGUUGCUACCAUCGUCUUUCAGCUUGGUUUUCUCUAGGAACGCGUUGAAGUUGAGGGCAACAUUAGCGUGGGUCAUUUGAUCUACAAGACAUAUUGUAAAGGUUUUUUAGACUAAGUUCAUGAUAAUUAAGUUAAUCUAAUCAAAUUAUUAAUGAACUCCCACUCAGACAGACAUCCCUCUAGUCAUCUAAGUGAUACAUGAUCCGAGUCAACUAGGCCGUGUCCGAUCAUCACGUGAGACGGACUAGUCAUCAUCGGUGAACAUCUUCAUGUUGAUCGUAUCUGCUAUACGACUCAUGUUCGACCUUUCGGUCACUUGUGUUCCGAGGCCAUGUCUGUACAUGCUAGGCUCGUCAAGUCAACCUAAGUGUAUUGCGUGUGUAAAUCUGGCUUACACCCGUUGUAUGCGAACGUUAGAACCUAUCACACCCGAUCAUCACGUGGUGCUUCGGAACAACGAACCUUCACAACAGUGCAUAGUUAGGGGGAACACUUUCUUGAAAUUUUAGCGAGGGAUCAUCUUAUUUAUGCUACCGUCGUUCUAAGCAAAUAAGAUGUAAAACAUGAUAAACAUCACAUGCAAUCAAAUAGUGACAUGAUAUGGCCAAUAUCAUUUUGCUCCUUUUGAUCUCCAUCUUUGGGGCGCCAUGUUCAUCAUCGUCACCGGCAUGACACCAUGAUCUCCAUCAUCAUGAUCUCCAUCAUUGUGUCUUCAUGAAGUUGCUCGCCAACUAUUACUUCUACUACUAUGGCUAACGGUUAGCAAUAAAGUAAAGUAAUUACAUGACGUUCCAGUUGACACGCAGGUCAUAAAUAAAUUAAGACAACUCCUAUGGCUCCUGCCGGUUGUCAUACUCAUCGACAUGCAAGUCGUGAUUCCUAUUACAAGAACAUGAUCAAUCUCAUACAUCACAUAUAUCAUUCAUCACAUCCUUCUGGCCAUAUCACAUCACAUGACACUUGCUGCAAAAACAAGUUAGACGUCCUCUAAUUGUUGUUGCAAACUUUUACGUGGCUGCUAUAGGUUUCUAGCAAGAACGAUUCUUACCUACACCAAAACCACAACGUGAUAUGCCAAUUUCUAUUUACCCUUCAUAAGGACCCUUUUCAUCGAAUCCGAUCUGACUAAAGUGGGAGAGACAGACACCUGCUAGCCACCUUAUGCAACUAGUGCAUGUCAGUCGGUCGAACCUGUCUCACGUAAGCGUACGUGUAAGGUCGGUCCGGGCCGCUUCAUCCCACAAUGCCGCCGAAUCAAGAUAAGACUAGUAACGACAAGUAAAUUGACAAAAUCGACGCCCACAACAACUUGUGUUCUACUCGUGCAUAGAAACUACGCAUAGACCUAGCUCAUGAUGCCACAGUUGGGGAUCGUAGCAGAAAUUAAAAUUUUCUACGCAUCACCAAGAUCAAUCUAUGGAGUUUACUAGCAACGAGAGGGGAAGAGUGCAUCUACAUACCCUUGUAGAUCGCGAGCGGAAGCGUUCAAGAGAACGGGGUUGAUGGAGUCAUACUCGUCGUGAUCCAAAUCACCGAUGACCCAAGCGCCGAACGGACGACACCUCCGCGUUCAACACACGUACGGAGCGGUGAUGUCUCCCAUGCCUUGAUCCAGCAAGGAGGAGGGAGAGGUUGAGGAAGAAGGCUCCAACAGCAGCACGACGGCGUGGUGGUGGUGGAGUGACAGUUCUCUGGCAGGGCUUCGCCAAGCACACGCGGAGGAGGAGAGGUGUUGGGGAGGGGAGGGGCUGCGCCUUGGAUGUGGUGCUGCAGCCCUCCCCUCACCCCUCUAUUUAUAGGGAGAAGGGGGAAGGGGGCCGGCCCCUCUAGAUGAGAUCUAGAGGGGGGGCGGCCAAGGGGGGAGGGAGCUUGCCCCCCAAGCAAGGGGGGCGCCCCCCUUUAGGGUUCCCCCAAACCCUAGGCGCAUGGGCCCUAGGGGGGUUGGCGCCCAGCCCACUAAGGGCUGGUUCCCUUCCACCUACAGCCCAUAAGGCCCUCCGGGGCAGCUGGACCCUCCCGGCGGACCCCCGGAACCCCUCCGGUGGUCCGGGUACAAUACCGGUAUACCCCCGAAUAUUUCCGGUGACCGUAUGGUGACUUCCCAUAUAUAAAUCUUUACCUCCGGACCAUUUCGGAACUCCUCGUGACGUCCAGGAUCUCAUCCGAGACUCCGAACAACAUUCGGUAAUCACAUACAAACCUUCCUUAUAACCCUAGCGUCAUCGAACCUUAAGUGUGUAGACCCUACGGGUUCGGGAAUCAUGCAGACAUGACCGAGACACCUCGGUAGCCAAUAACCAACAGCGGGAUCUGGAUACCCAUGUUGGCUCCCACAUGUUCCACAUGAUCUCAUCAGAUGAACCACGAUGUCGAGGAUUCAAGCAAUCCCGUAUACAAUUCCCUUUGUCAAUCGGUACUUUACUUGCCCGAGAUUCGAUCCUCGGUAUCCCAAUACCUCGUUCAAUCUUGUUACGGGCAAGUCACUUUACUCAUUCCGUAAUGCAUGAUCCCGUGACUAACUACUUAGUCACAUUGAGGUCAUUAUGAUGAUGCAAUACUGAGUGGGCCCAGAGAUACCUCUCCGUCAUACAGAGUGACAAAUCCCAGUCUCGAUCCGAGCCAACCCAACAGACACUUUCGGAGAUACCUGUAGUGCACCUUUAUAGCCACCCAGUUACGUUGUGACGUUUGGUACACCCAAAGCAUUCCUACGGUAUCCGGGAGUUGCACGAUCUCAUGGUCUAAGGAAAUGAUACUUGACAUUAGAAAAGCUUUAGCAAACGAACUACACGAUCUAGUGCUAUGCUUAGGAUUGGGUCUUGUCCAUCACAUCAUUCUCCUAAUGAUGUGAUCCCGUUAUCAAUGACAUCCAAUGUCCAUGGUCAGGAAACCGUAACCAUCUAUUGAUCAACGAGCUAGUCAACUAGAGGCUCACUAGGCACAUGUUAUGGUCUAUGUAUUCACACAUGUAUUACGAUUUCCGGAUAACACAAUUAAAGCAUGAACAAUAGACAAUUAUCAUGAACAAGGAAAUAUAAUAAUAACCAUUUUAUUAUUGCCUCUAGGGCAUAUUUCCAACACACUGUUCAUUACGGGCCAGUUUCACCACGGGCCGUUAAUAGGCCAAGUGUUACAUAGGGCCUCAUAUGGGCCGAAAGACGUCAUGGGCCAUACAUGGGCCAGAAGUGAGAACGGGCUGGAAUCAUAUUGGGUGGCCCAGAUGAUGCUACUGGGCCUAAUUCGGAUAGGGCGUAACGGGCCUUGGGUUAGCGGGCUGUAAAUGGGCUAUAUGCGAACAUGCCGUUAACAGGCUUUACAUGGGCCGGCCCGCCACCUUUUGACCAAGUCAAACGGGCCGGCCUUUUCACAAGAAUGGGCCUCUGUUGGGCCAUGCCACGUGUCGACGUAUCAUAGGCGCCUUCUGUCCAAUGAGUGGAUGACAUCUGUCCCAACGAUGAGCCGCCACGUGUUUCCUCCAGCCAAUGAUGAUUUUACACGUGAAAAAUCCCCAUUGGUCGGGGUUGUUAACGGGUUAUCGGAUCCAAAACCCGACUCGAUAGCUUAAUGGCGUUCCGUUACGGUGGAUGCCAUGUGUCGGUCACCCUUGACGAAAGCACUUCUGUGACGCGGGAUUUAUCGUCAUGGAAGUGGACACUUCCGUGAUGAUAAUUUUGGUAAUGUCAUGGAAUACUUCUACGACAGCACAUGUAUGACUAUCUUGAUUCUGUCAUAAAAUCGUCAUGGAUGUACAUGCAUGAUAGAAAAUGCGACCUACUGUGACAAACACGUAUCAUCACGGAAGUGUAUUUUUUUUGUAGUGUGUGCAUCUGCGUUUGUACCCUUUUUCUUAAAUAAAGCAUGUGGUCAGAAGUUUCAAGUUGAACCACUAUAGUAGUACUAUCAUUUUAUAUUUGUUAAGAAUGGCUAAGUAUACUACUAGCACUUUAGCCUAACUCACGUUGGUGAGGUUAUUUGUGGUGGAACCAGUCAAUCAGAAUUCAAGUCCUAGAUUUGAGAGUGGUGCUCGUAUUUUUCUAAAUUUAUUUUAAAAUGUGUCGGUCCAAUUUUAUGAGGUGCUCACAGAAAUAGGGUGUGCGUAUGUACCUUAAGGAUGAAUGUAUAUGCAUUUGUAUGAGCAUCUGAAUAUUUGUACUGUGUUAAAAAAUAUUCGGAAAACUGUCAACAUUGGUAUGGUUAAAGAUGCAUGUAUAAUAAAUUCUUUUUGAGGGUGCAUGUAUAAUAAUUGGAUUCAUAGCAAAAGGUAAGGUUUUUCAUCCUUUAAACAAAAGAUCAACAGGAGGGCCCACUGAUCGAUUCUGUUUCCGAUUCCUCUCUCCGGUCCUGCGAGUGUCUGCCCCUGUCUCCAUGUUGUCGGAUCCGGGCCGCCUUUAGAGCAUCUCCAACAGCCGCGCUAAACAAGCGCCGCACCGCAAAAUUGCCCAUUUUAGCGCGCGCGCAAUCGGUAGAGUUGCUCCAGCGGGCGCGCAAAAACCAUGCGCGCGGCAUAUCUAGUUUAGCGCGCGGGCCGAAACUCCAUCGCGCGCCGCUUAUUUGCUGCGCCCGCUCCCGCGCGCUGGACUCUCGCGCGCUCGCUCGCAACUCGACCCCCCCAUCCAGCCGCGGCGCCGCCGCCGCCCGCGCCACCCGGCGACCGUUCCGGCGCUUCCCGGGCCUAUCCCCGCGCCGCGGCGGCUUCCUCCGCCCCCUUCUAGUCACCGUCGCCCCUCGCGUGCAGCCGUCCUCCGACAAACAAUGCCCGGGCGCUCGCUGGCGCUCGGCGCCCGCAAGGUGUUCGACAAAAUGCCUGCAAAGUAUGUAUUGCUCAAACUUCAUGAAUUUGGUGCAUGUUGUUUGUAGUUUUUAUAGCAUAGUAUUGAACAUUGUAGAUGAGUUCGUCGUAUGAUUCUUCUGAAGAAGAAUUUGAUAUGGAAGAGGAGGAGGAUCUUGCAAUGAUCGUAGCUAUGCACAUCAAUAAAAAACCGAAGCACGGUGGUUCGGUUAUGGGUCGGCAGAAAAUUUGGAGGGACAGGAUCGAUGCCCACAACAGAUUGAUCAGGCAUUAUUUUGCGAAGAAUCCCACAUACCCUGAGUCGUAUUUUCGUCGUCGGUUUAGGAUGAGCACCGAGUUGUUCAGGCGCAUUGCAGAGAAACUAGCGAGCCAUGACCGGUUUUUUAACAAAGGAGGAAUGCCGCCAGAGACCUCGGGCAUAGCACCUUUCAGAAGGUGACAACCGCUUUGCGUAUGUUGGCAUACGGUACCCCAGCUGAUCUAGUUGAUGAUCACUUGGCCAUGGGUGAGAGCCAAGCCAUCAUGUGUGUCAAGCGCUUCGCAGUCGGAAUUGUGCAAGUGUUUGGCCAGGAGUAUUUGAGAUCUCCCAAUGCUGAAGACGCCGCAAGUCUAUUGGAGAUGAACAAAGCUCGCGGCUUCCCUGGUAUGCUUGGCUCAAUAGAUUGCAUGCAUUGGAGUUGGAAGAAUUGUCCAAAGGCAUGGCAUGGGCAAUUCCACGGUCAAAAAAAGGGUUCCACUAUAAUCCUUGAAGCGGUGGCCGAUCAACAAACUUGGAUUAUGCAUGCUUUCUUUGGAAUGCAUAGAUAUUUGAAUGACAUCAACGUUGUCAGCCGGUCACCACUGAUGAAUAAGAUUGCAAAUGGUGAUUUGCCACCGGUGCAGUUUGUAGCAAAUGGUCGUACGUACAACUAUGGCUACUAUCUUGCGGAUGGCAUCUACCCAAAGUGGCAAACAUUUGUGAAGCCAUUAAAAAAACGGAAGGUAAGAAAAAUCUUGAUUUCCACAAUAAUCAGGCAGCGGCUAGAAAAGAUGUGGAGAGAGCUUUUGGGAUUUUGCAAGCCCAAUUUGCUAUUGUGAGAGGACCGGCUAGAUUUUGGGAUCAAAAGAUGCUUUGGUACAUCAUGCACGCUUGUGUGUGAAGGAAAUAUGCCCUAGAGGCAAUAAUAAAGUUGCUAUUUAUAUUUCCUUAUAUCAUGAUAAAUGUUUAUUAUUCAUGCUAGAAUUGUAUUAACCGGAAACUUAGUACAUGUGUGAAUACAUAGAAAAAUAGAGUGUCACUAGUAUGCCUCUACUUGACUAGCUCGUUAAAUCAAAGAUGGUUAAGUUUCCUAGCCAUAGACAUGAGUUGUCAUUUGAUUAACGGGAUCACAUCAUUAGAGAAUGAUGUGAUUGACUUGACCCAUUCCGUUAGCAUAGCACUUGAUCAUUUAGUAUGUUGCUAUUGCUUUCUUCAUGACUUAUACAUGUUCCUAUGACUAUGAGAUUAUGCAACUCCCGAAAACUGGAGGAACACUUAGUGUCCUACCAAACAUCACAAUGUAACUGGGUGAUUACUACAGGUGCCUCCGAUGGUACUUGUUGAGUUGACAUAGAUCGAGAUUAGGAUUUGUCACUCCGAUUGUCGGAGAGGUAUCUCUCGGCCCUCUCGGUAAUGCACAUCACUAUAAGCCUUGCAAGCAAUGUGACUAAUGAGUUAGUUGCGGGAUGAUGCAUUAUGGAAUGAGUAAAGAGACUUGCCGGUAACGAUAUUGAACUAGGUAUUGAGAUACCGACGAUCGAAUCUCGGGCAAGUAACAUACCGAUGACAAAGGUAACAACGUAUGUUGUUAUGCGGUUUGACCGAUAAAGAUCUUCGUAGAAUAUGUGGGAGCCAAUAUGAACAUCCAGGUUCCGCUAUUGGUUAUUGACCGUAGACGUGUCUCGGUCAUGUCUACAUAGUUAUCGAACCCGUAGGGUCCGCACGCUUAACGUUCGGUGACGAUCGGUAUUAUGAGUUUAUGUGUUUUGAUGUACCGAAGAUAGUUCGGAGUCCCAAAUGUGAUCACGGACAUGACGAGGAGUCUCAAAAUGGUCGAGACAUAAAGAUUGAUAUAUUGGAUGACUAUAUUCGGACACCGGAUGAGUUCCGGUGGUCACCGGAUAAUUAUCGGAGUGCCGGGGGGUUAUCGGAACCCCCGGGGGAACUAAUGGGCCAACAUGGGCCUUGUGAGAGAGAGUGGAGGGUCCUUAGGGCUGGCCGCGCCCCCCUGUGGAGUCCGAAUUGGACAAGGAGGGGGCGGUGCCCCAUUGUUCCCUCCUUCUCUCCCUCUCCUUCCUUCCCCCUUCCUCCCCCUAGUAGGACUAGGAAAGGGGAUCCUACUCCUACUAGGAGGAGGACUCCUCCUCUCCUGGCGCGCCCCAAGGGCCGGCCGGCCUCCCCCCUUGCUCCUUUAUAUACGGGGGCAGGGGGCACCUAGAACACACAAGUUGAUCAUUCUUUUAGCCGUGUGCGGUGCCCCCCUCCACCACAAUCCACCUCGAUCAUAUCGUUGUAGUGCUUAGGCGAAGCCCUGCGCCGGUAGCUUCAUCAUCACCGCCCUCACGCCGUCGUGCUGAUGAAGCUCUCCCUCGACACUCAGCUGGAUCGAGAGUUCGUGGGACGUCACCGAGCUGAACAUGUGCGGAUCGCGGAGGUGCCGUACUUUCGGUACUAGGAUCAGUCGGAUCGUGAAGGCGUGCGACUACAUGAACCGCGUUGUCAUAACGCUUCCGCUUACGGUCUACGAGGGUACAUGGACUACACUCUCCCCUCUCGUUGCUAUGUAUCACCAUGAUCUUGCAUGUGCGUAGGAAUUUUUUUGAAAUUACUGCGUUCCCCAACACUGGUAUAAGAGCCAGGUUUAUGCGUAGAUGUUAUAUGCACGAGUAGAACACAAGUGAGUUGUGGGCGAUAAUAGUCAUACUGCUUACCAGCAUGUCAUACUUUGAUUCGGCGGUAUUCUUGGAUGAAGUGGCCCGGACCGACAUUACGCGUACGCAUACGCGAGACUGGUUCUAUCGACGUGCUUCGCACACAGGUGGCCGGCGGGUGUCAGUUUCUCCAACUUUAGUUGGAUCGAGUGUGGCUACGCCCGGUCCUUGUUGAAAGUUAAAAUAGCACAUACUUGACGAAAAAUCGUUGUGGUUUUAAUGCGUAGGUAAGAACGGUUCUUGCUCAGCCCGUAGCAGCCACGUAAAACUUGCAACAACAAAGUAGAGGGCGUCUAACUUGUUUUUGCAGGGCAUGUUGUGAUGUGAUAUGGUCAAGACAUGAUGCUAAAUUUUAUUGUAUGAGAUGAUCAUAUUUUGUAACAGAGUUAUCGGCAACUGGCAGGAGCCAUAUGGUUGUCACUUUAUUGUAUGAAAUGCAAUCGCCAUGUAAUUGCUUUACUUUAUCACUAAGCGGUAGCGAUAGUCGUAGAAGCAAUAGUUGGCGAGAUGACAAUGAUGCUUCGAUGGAGAUCAAGGUGUCAAGCCGGUGACGAUGGUGAUCAUGACGGUGCUUUGGAGAUGGAGAUCAAAGGCACAAGAUGAUGAUGGCCAUAUCAUAUCACUUAUAUUGAUUGCAUGUGAUGUUUAUCUUUUAUGCAUCUUAUUUUGCUUAGUCCGGCGGUAGCAUUAUAAGAUGACCUCUCACUAAAUUUCAAGGUACAAGUGUUCUCCCUGAGUAUGCACCAUUGCGAAAGUUCAUCGUGCCGAGACACCACGUGAUGAUCGGGUGUGAUAAGCUCUACGUUCACAUACAAUGGGUGCAAGCCAGUUUUGCACACGCAAAAUACUCGGGUUAAACUUGACAAGCUAUGGCCUCGGAACACUGACACCGAAAGGUCGAGCGUGAAUCAUAUAGUAGAUAUGAUCAACAUAGUGAUGUUCACCAUUGAAAACUACUCCAUCUCACGUGAUGAUCGGACAUGGUUUAGUUGAUUUGGAUCACGUGAUCACUUAGAUGAUUAGAGGGAUGUCUAUCUAAGUGGGAGUUUAGUAAUAUGAUUAAAUGAACUUUAAUUUAUCAUGAACUUAGUACCUGAUAGUAUUUUGCAUGUCUAUGUUGUUGUAGAUAGAUGGCCGUGCUGUUGUUCCGUGAAUUUUAAUGCGUUCCUAGAGAAAGCUAAGUCAAAAGAUGAUGGUAGCAACUACACGGACUGGGUCUGUAACUUGAGGAUUAUCCUCAUUGCUGCAUAGAAGAAUUACGUCCUAGAAGCACCGCUAGGUGCCAAACCCGCUGCAGGAGCAACGCCAGAUGUUAUGAACAUCUGGCAGAGCAAAGCUGAUGACUACUCGAUAGUUCAGUGUGCCAUGCUUUCCGGCUUAGAACCGAGACUUCAGCGACGUUUUGAACGUCAUGGAGCAUACACUACUGGAAUCAGCUUCUUUGCCGCCCGCCAUGGCGGACGACAAAGGCUUAGACCACGAACGACAAACUUCCUUGCCGUCCGCUGGCGGAUGGCAAACUGUCCGGAUGAACACGUGCCAGCAAAGGCCUUCUUUGUCGUCCGCUUCCUAGAAAUGGACGGCAAAGGAUUAUGUCGUCCGCCGUCCGAGGCCAGCAGACGGCAAAGACAGUGGACGGCAGUGCGGUGGCGUGAUAGCCGUUAGGGGGUUAACGGCACUCUUUGCCGUCUAUCAGCGGACGACAAAGAGUCGAAGCUCUAUGGCGUCCGCUGACAGACGGCAAAGAGCUCAGCUAGGCAGCACUGGGAAGCUGCCACGUGUCCAUCUAUGCCGUCCGCCAGCAGACGGCAAAGAGGGUUGAAUCUUUGCCGUCUGCUGGCAGACGGCAUAGCUGGUCACUUUGCCGUGUCCCAGCGGACGGCAAAAUGACCAAAUAGGCAGCCAGUGUUCCCAGUCUGCACAGGUGACUGCCACGUGUCCUCCUUGCCGUCUGCUAGCGGACGGCAAAGAGGCUAUAUAUCCCCUGUUUUUAAUUAAAUCCCAUUAAUUAGACAUGGUUUCAAACACAAAUAUACAUGCAUACAUAUCCAACAUAUCUAACAGCAUGUCCAACAACAUAUUUCAUCAAAUCCAACAACAUAGGUCAACAAAGUCCAACAUAUCCAUAUAUACAUAACCAGAAACAAGUUUCCAACAACAUAUCCAAACAAGUUUUCAUAAACAACAAGGAAGCACCAGAAGAAUAGUACGCUCCAUGAAUCCAAGCUUGCUCAUGUAAAGCAAAUCUGCAAAUUGGGAAAGAUGAAAGUUAGAAGAAGAAGAAGUAGAAGACUAGUUAGAAGAAGAAGAAGAAGAAUAUUUUUUUCUUCUCUUUCUUUUUCUCCUCUCCUCUUCUUUAUCUUCUUCUUCUUCUAACUAAGGUAGGUAAAAAUGUCAUUUUAUUGCUAAGCUAGGUAAAAAUGCGAAGUGUAGGUCAUUUUAGAGCUAAGCUAGGUAAAUAGGUCAUUUUGGAGCUUAGUAAGGUUAUUAUGUCAUUUUCGAGGAAAAUAAGCUAAGUCUAUAUCAUUUUGGAGCUAACAAAGAUCAUCAUGCCAUUUUUUACCUAAGUAUGCUAAGUAUGUCAUAAAUGAACUGAAUAAGCUAUGUAUAGCUCAUUUUGGAAUCAGCUUCUUUGUCGUCCGCCAUGGCGGACGACAAAGGCUUAGACCACGGACGACAAACUUCCUUGCCGUCCGCUGGCGAACGGCAAACUGUCCGGAUGAACACGUGCCAGCAAAGGCCUUCUUUGUUGUCUGCUUCCUAGAAACGGACGGCAAAGGAUUAUGUCGUCCGCCGUCUGAGGCCAGCAGACGGCAAAGACUGUGGACGGCAGUGCGGUGGCGUGAGAGCCGUUAGGGGGUUAACGGCGCUCUUUGCCGUCUGCCAGCGGACGGCAAAGAGUCGAAGCUCUAUGGCGUCCGCUAACAGACGGCAAAGAGCUCAGCUAGGCAGCACUGGGAAGCUACCACGUGUCCAUCUAUGUCGUCCACGAGCAGACGGAAAAGAGGGUUGAAUCUUUGCUGUCUGCUGGCAGACGGCAUAGCUGGUCACUUUGCCGUCUGCCAGCGGACGGCAAAAUGACCAAAUAGGCAGCCAAUGUUCCCAGUCUGCACAGGUGACUGCCAUGUGUCCUCCUUGUCGUCAGCUAGCGGACGGCAAAGAGGCUAUAUAUCCCCUGUUUUUAUUUAAAUCCCAUUAACUAGACAUGGUUUCAAACACAGAUAUACAUGCAUACAUAUCCAACAUAUCCAACAGCAUGUCCAACAACAUAUUUCAUCAAAUCCAACAACAUAGGUCAACAAAGUCCAACAUAUCCAUAUGUACAUAACCAGAAACAAGUUUCCAACAACAUAUCCAAACAAGUUUUCAUAAACAACAAGGAAGCACCAGAAGAAUAGUACGCUCCAUGAAUCCAAGCUUGCUCAUGUAAAGCAAAUCUGCAAAUUGGGAAAGAUGAAAGUUAGAAGAAGAAGAAGAAAUAGAAGACUAGUUAGAAGAAGAAGAAUAUUUUUUUCUUCUCUUUAUUUUUCUCCUCUCCUCUUCUUUAUCUUCUUCUUCUUCUAACUAAGGUAGGUAAAAAUGUCAUUUUAUUGCUAAGCUAGGUAAAAAUGCGAAGUGUAGGUCAUUUUAGAGCUAAGCUAGGUAAAUAGGUCAUUUUGGAGCUUAGUAAGGUUAUUAUGUCAUUUUCGAGGAAAAUAAGCUAAGUCUAUAUCAUUUUGGAGCUAACAAAGAUCAUCAUGCCAUUUUUUACCUAAGUAUGCUAAGUAUGUCAUAAAUGAACUGAAUAAGCUAAGUAUAGCUCAUUUUUUAUCCAACUUAGGUAAUUAUGCCAUUUAGGAGCAAAAUAAGCUAAGUAUCCAUUUGUAAAGCAAAACACUAGAGAAAACUUACCCUCAUCACAACAAAUGUGAUGAAGAUCGCAACUAAGGUAACAAUUGAUCCAACGGCAUAAUGAUACCAAGCCUCAUUAUCAAUGGCAUAUUUUCUAAUCUUCUUAAGCUUCAGGCGCAUUGCAUCCAUCUUCAAGCGCAUUGCAUUCAUCUUCAUCUUGUGAUCAUCGAUGACAUCGGCAACAUACAACUCCAAUGUCAUCUUCUCUUCUUCAAUUCUUUUAAUUUUUUCUUUCAAAUACUCAUUUUCUUUUUCAACUAAAUUUAACUUCUCGACAAGAGGGUCCGUUUCGAAUUCCGGUUCACAUACCUCCUAGAUUAAAAUAUCUCUAUGUCAACUUGAUGGCCAUAAUUGUCAUAAAUGCGAAAUGCAACAAAUAGUUAUGAAAGAGAAUUUAGCACAUCCGAAUCAUAAAGCGGGCGAGGGCCGACCGGGACGGACAUCAAGACCAUGGCACUAUGUAUAAGAAACAAUCAUACAAAGUAAGAAAAUUAUAAAUACCAACUAUAUAAAUCAUACAAUCAUACAAAUAACUAUAUAAAUCAAGUACAACGUAAAAUUUGAAUACCUAAUAAUCACUAUCGGUAAUGACGUGCUCAUCAUCAUCAUUAAUAAAAGCAUCAUCACUAUCGGUAAUGACGUGCUCAUCGUCAUCAUUAAUAAAUGCAUCAUCAUGUGGAAGGCCACCUUUACGUAAUCGUUCAAGCAUUGACAGGUCAUCUGCAACAGUAACUUCUUCUUCUUCCGGCUCUUCUUGUUCCGGCUCAGGGGUGAAGUCGGAUUCACUAUCGUUGUCUACUUCAAUGUUCUGGGGUGGAGUAGAGCGGUUCUUGAAAUGUUUUUUUGGAAAGAUGUGUUUCUUGGAAGAAUUCUCCUUCGUCAUAUGUGUCUUGGUUAAUGUGAGGUUCAUAAUCCUUUUCAUUGGGGGGAGGUGGUCUAACACGUGGCGGCACUUCAUAAACAACGUCCCAACCACUGAGAUUUGGAUCACUUUCACAAGCCCACGGUAGAUAGAAAACUUGGGUUGCCUGUUGAGCCGUAAUAUAGACAUCGGGAACAUCCAAAUGGGUGCUUUGUUUGAUUUCGACUAGCCGUAUAUGUUCAUGAGUCCUUCUAGUCUCCCUCGCCUGGAACCAAUAACAUCUGAAGACUACGACGUUUGGUGGGUUUUCACCAUAGAAUUCAAGUUCAUAAAUUGCUUCAACUCUUCCAUAAUAUUUGAUACCUCCUUCACCGAUAGCAGAGACACAAAAAUUUGUAGACUUUCGGUCGGCCAUAGAUAGCUCUUUGCCAUAGGUACGAAAGUGAUACCCGUUGAUGUCGUAUUUGUCAAAUGAACGGACCUUAUAGUCAAAACCAUUAGCUACUUGUCUCAAUUCGGCAUCCAUAAUCUUUGAAUUAGCCUACAAGUUUAAUACGAAAGGAUUGUUGCAUUAGUUGCAAAUUAGCCAAAGAAAUGAAAGGGUCAAAUGGAAAUUACCAUUUUUUUGAACCAAGAGAUGAAACCGGGAUAUUCGGCUCCUUGUUUUGCCAGAAGCUCAUACUCUUCGAUGGAAUCCUUUUUUAUCACCGCUCCAUACGAGAAUAUGGCGACGUAUCGACUGCAUCAAAUAUCCAGGAAUAAGAGAAGUUCAAAGGAAUUAGAAGUUGUGAAACAAUGUACCGAGAUCUUACUCGAUUUACGACCGCACUUCUGUUAGGUUGUUGAAGAGAUACAGCGAAAUGGUCCGCCAUUCUUCAACAUCCAACCUUACUGGUUUCCAACCACUGGCUGGUGCGAGAUUCCCUUUGAAUAGGCUGAGGUUGGAUUGACCCUUUUGAGGUUCGUCAGCAUUGUACCGAGGCUUCGGAUUAUGCAAAUGACGAUUUUUGGCUUUGUAGUGUGCUGUCAUGAAGUUUGUCGACUCCUCAGUGAUGAAUGCCUCCGCCAUCGAUGCUUCUAUUCUACGUUUAUUUUUACAUUUUGCUCGAAGCAUCUUCUGCAUCCUCUCAGUUGAGUAGCACCAACGAUUUUUCACGCCCCCCCAAUCGUGCCUCGGUCGGAGAUGCAAAAUCAAGUGUUGCAUUGGAUUAAAGAAGCUUGGCGGAAAGAUCAUUUCUAACUUGCAGAUCAACUCUGGCGCCAACUGUUCCAUUUCUUCUAGGAGGCCAUGCGAUAGUUCUUUCGCACAAAGAACACGGAAGAAAUAGCUUAGCUCUGCCAGCACUAGCCAUUCAUCCUCAGGGAUGAAGCCACGCAACAUCACCGGCAUUAUCCGCUCAAUCCAUAUGUGCCAAUCAUGACUUUUUAGACCAAAUAUUUUCAAUUUUUGAAGACUCGCUCCCCUCUUUAGAUUUGCUGCAUACCCAUCGGGGAACAUCAACUGCAUUUUCACCCAUAAAAUAAUUUCCUUCAUAGCUGGCCUUCCAAGAUUGAACCAUGCCUUUCGCUUCAUCCAGUUCCCCUUUCCUUUCGGUUCUUUCAUGUUUUGUAACGGUCUAUCACAUAGCUCCUCUUGAUCGACUCUAGCCUUAGUAUUAUCCUUUGAUUUCCCCUCUAUGUCGACAAUGUACCAAAAAUGGCUUCGGCGAUAUUCUUUUCAGUGUGCAUCACGUCGAUGUUGUGUGGGCAAAGGCCGUCUUUGAAGUAAGGCAGAUCCCAGAAGCAUGUCUUGUGAGUCCAAGCGUGUUCCUUAUUAUACCCCUUGAAAUACCCUGGACGAUCUAGAUCUGGCUCAAGAGCGUUUAACUGAUCUAGGGUCUGUUGGCCUGUCAACGCAGGUGGUGCAUAGUGUUUGACAACUCUACCUUUGAUGAAGUUCUUCUUGUCUUUCCUGAACUUAUGGCUAGGAUGUAGAAACGGUCUAUGCAAGUCGAAGCAACUAUACUUGUGCCCUGCCGUUAGCCAAUGAAACUCAAGAGCUCCCUUGCAUGUGGGGCACGGGAACCUUCCAUGCACACACCAGCCAACGAAUAGCGCAUACGCCGGCAAGUCAUGCGUCGAGUACAUGUACCAGGCACGCAUUAUGAAGUUCUCUUUGCUAAAGGCGUCGUAUGUCUUGAACCCAUUAUCCCAAGCUUCUUGCAAUUCGUCCUUAAGCGGCUGCAUGUACACAUUCAUAUUCUUCCCCGGAUAGUUGGGCGCUGGAAUUAUCAACGUCAAGAAAAUGUUCUUUCUUUGCAUAAUCUGCAAGGGGGGGGAUUGAGUGGAAUGAAAAACACGGGCCAACAGCUGUAUGGGGUUGCCAUCUGACCAAACACACCGAACCCAUCUGUGCUGACGGCGACUCGAGGAUGCCUUGGAUCUGCCAUUUUUUCCUUAUGUAAUGCAUCAAAGCGCUUCCACGCUUCACCAUAUGAUGUGUGCACCAUCAUCACAUUCCCAUUUGCAUCUAGUUUGGUUCUUUUGCCCGUUUUGUGCCAUGUCAUCUGUCUGGCCGUCUCUUCGACCAUGAAAAGACGUUGAAGUCUUGGUACGAUUGGCAUAUACCGAAGAACAUUAACGGGUAUUUUGGUCUGCAUCUUCUCACCCAUACCGUUGUCUACCACAACAUACCUGGAAGAAUUGCAAAUGGGACAAUAGUUCAAGUCCUCAUAUUGAAGCCUAAAUAAGACACAUCCUUUCUCACAGGCAUGUAUCUUCUCAUAGGGCAUCUUAAGAGCACGGAGGAUUUUGUCUGACUGAUACAGGUUUGGAGGUAGCACAUGGCCUUUGGGUAGAAAUGUCCGAAUACUGUCAUCAUCGCGUCGUAGCAUUCUCUGCCCAAGUUGAAUUGAGCCUUCAAAGCCAUUAUUUGUGAGAUGGCAUCCAGCUGACAAAGCUCAGUGUGCUCAUGGAGAGGAUGUUUUGAGGACUCCAACAUUUCAGUGAAGGCCUUUGCAGAUUCCUCCAUCUCCUCGUCCGAGUCCCGAGCAUCAUCAAAGUCUUGCACCAUGUCUGCGGUCCCGGUACCAUGCUCGUCGGUGCGACGACGAACCACCUCGGCUCUGGCACGUUGGGCAGACUCACCAUGUAAUGUCCAGACCGUGUAACCAGGCGUAAAACCAAACUUCUGCAUGUCUUUACUCAUUUCAAGCUCGUCCCUCUUUUUAUAGUUGUCGCAACGGGCACAGGGGCACCAGCUAAAUUCCUGGCCAUUUGCAAAUGCGGCUCUAACAAACCCCUUGGUUUUUGUUAACCAUUCCUCGGUCCAAACUUUCAGACUAGUGUAACCGGUGUACAUCCAUGCACGAUCACUCAUAUUGACUUCCUACUGGACACACAAGAAAUAUAUACAUAAUUAAGCAAACCAUAUCCAUCAGUUAAUGGAGUUUGUCAGUUUUAUUACAUCCAUGCAACCUACACGCUAAUAGGUAAAGAUAGGUCCUAAUCCCACCCAAGUAUGUGUAGAUUGGGUUCAUUUUCCCAUGCUUUGCUCCGGAUCCGACGCAAAAUUUCGGCAGCACCUCCCCGUUGUUCUCCUGAUACACGUCUCGGCAAUAACCAGGGAGGAUGUGUACCCGAAGAACAACAGGGAGGCACUGACGAAAUUCUGCAUCGGAUCCGGAGCAGAGCAUAUGGGAAAAUGAACCCAAUCUACACAUACUCAGGCUGUCCAUGGAUAACGUUGGACAAUUCGAAAGAAUCACGAUUAUAAAUAUGCAAAUGCAUGCAUAUUUAUAGAUGUAACCCUUUCGAACGGGAGACGCAUAGUGGUUACGCAUACUGAUGAUUGACACCUACAGCUAGCAAGUUUCAUUGGGAGAUGUCAUUUGUGCUCACCAAUGAACGCAGGGGUGGAGCUCGUCGAACACUAGACCCUCGCAGCAACGAAAUAACUGCACAUUUAAAUCCAAAGAUGAGUAACAUAGCAAUUUUGUUUCUUCCGUCGACCUAACCAAAUAUUGACAACAGGACGAGCGGGUUAGGGGGUCCUUGGCGUCGAUGGAACCCUAAAUAGCAAGUAUCAUCGGUGCGAGAUACAUGUGGCGCUCAGCGUUGAACACUAGAUCCACAUUCCACAAGUGAAGCCGGCGCCCGGCGUCCCGCAACAAUAGUUCUGGUGGCCGAUGACGGUUGAACACCAUCGCGAAUUUGUCUGGCAGCCUCUGCAAUGAGGAUUAAAGCCAGGUUUUGAAAUUUCAAACAACCUAACCGACUUGAGUCAGUUUGGGUGUUUCAAGUUGAUAACCCACAAGUAUAGGGGAUCACAACAGUUUUCGAGGGUAGAGUAUUCAACCCAAAUUUAUUGAUUCGACACAAGGGGAGCCAAAGAAUAUUCUCAAGUAUUAGCAGUUGAGUUGUCAAUUCAACCACACCUGGAUAACUUAGUAUCUGCAGCAAAGUAUUUAGUAGCAAAGUAAUAUGGAAGUAACGGUAACGGUAGCAAAAGUAAUAUUUUUGGGUUUUGUAGUGAUUGUAACAGUAGCAACGAAAAGUAAAUAAGCGAAGAACAAUAUGUGAAAAGCUCGUAGGCAUUGGAUCGGUGAUGGAGAAUUAUGUCGGAUGCGGUUCAUCAUGUAACAAUCAUAACAUAGGGUGACAUAGAACUAGCUCCAAUUCAUCAAUGUAAUGUAUGCAUGUAUUCCAAAUAUAGUCAUACGUGCUUAUGGAAAAGAACUUGCAUGACAUCUUUUGUCCUACCCUCCCGUGGCAGCGGGGUCCUAUGGGAAACUAAGGGAUAUUAAGGCCUCCUUUUAAUAGAGUACCGGACCAAAGCAUUAACACAUAGUGAAUACAUGAACUCCUCAAACUAUGGUCAUCACCGGGAGUGGUCCCGAUUAUUGUCACUUCGGGGUUGCCGGAUCAUAACACAUAGUAGGUGACUAUAGACUUGCAAGAUAGGAUCAAGAACUCACAUAUAUUCAUGAAAACAUAAUAGGUUCAGAUCUGAAAUCAUGGCACUCGGGCCCUAGUGACAAGCAUUAAGCAUAGCAAAGUCAUAGCAACAUCAAUCUCAGAACAUAGUGGAUACUAGGGAUCAAACCCUAACAAAACUAACUCGAUUACAUGAUAAAUCUCAUCCAACCCACCACCGUCCAGCAAGCCUACGAUGGAAUUACUCACGCACGAUGGUGAGCAUCAUGAAAUUGGUGAUGGAGGAUGGUUGAUGAUGACGAUGGCGAAGGAUUCCCCUCUCCGGAGCCCCGAACAGACUCCAGAUCAGCCCUCUCGAGAGAGAUUAGGGCUUGGCGGCGGCUCCGUAUCGUAAAACACGAUGAAUCUUUCUCUCUGAUUUUUUUCUCCCCGAACACGAAUAUAUAGAGUGGGAGUUGAGGUCGGUGGAGCUCCAGGGGGCCCACGAGGCAGGGGCGCGCCCAGGGGGCAGGUGCGCCCCCCACCCUCGUGGAAAGGGUGUGGGCCCCUGGCCUUGAUUCUUUUGCGAGUAUUUUUAUUAUUUCAAAAAAUAAUCUCCGUGAAGUUUCAGGUCAUUCCGAGAACUUUUGUUUCUGCACAUAAAUAACACCAUGGCAAUUCUGCUGAAAACAGCGUCAGUCCGGGUUAGUUCCAUUCAAAUCAUGCAAGUUAGAGUCCAAAACAAGGGCAAAAGUGUUUGGAAAAGUACAUACGACGGAGACGUAUCAACUCCCCCAAGCUUAAACCUUUGCUUGUCCUCAAGCAAUUCAGUGGAUAAACUGAAAGUGAUAAAGAAAAACUUUUACAAACUCUGUUUGCUCUUGUUGUUGUAAAUAUGUAAAGCCAGCAUUCAAGUUUUCAGCAAAGAUUAUGACUAACCAUAUUCACAAUAACAUUUAGGUCUCAUGUUUACUCAUGUCAAUGGCAUAAUCAACUAGCGAGCAAUAAUAAUAAAUCUCGGAUGACAACACUUUCUCAAAACAAUCAUAAUAUGAUAUAACAAGAUGGUAUCUCGCUAGCCCUUUCUGAGACCGCAAAACAUAUAUGCAGAGCACCUUUGAAGAUCAAGGACUGACUAAACAUUGUAAUUCAUGGUAAAAGAGAUCCAGUCAUAGUCAUACCCAAUAUAAAUUAAUAGUAAUGGACGCAAAUGACAGAGGUGCUCUCCAGCUGGUGCUUUUUAAUAAGAGGGUGAUGACUCAACAUAAAAUUAAAUAGAUAGGCCCUUCGCAGAGGGAAGCAGGGAUUUGUAGAGGUGCCAGAGCUCGAUUUUAAAGCAGAGAAAAAUAAUAUUUUGAGCGGCAUACUUUCAUUGUCAACAUAACAACCAAGAGAUGGCGAUAUCUUCCAUGCUACACACAUUAUAGGCGGUUCCCAAACAGAAUGGUAAAGUUUAUACUCCCCCUCCACCAACAAGCAUCAAUCCAUGGCUUGCUCGAAACAACGAGUGCCUCCAACUAACAAGAGUCCCAGUGCCAUUGUUGUUUGACUGAUUUUUUUCAUCUCAAAACCCCGAUAAAGCUGCUAGUGCCGGGUAAACUCAUAUUGGCUAAAGUGAAAAAGAAGAAAAUGGUAGUGAAAUUCGGCAUGGUGCUCACUAAACCUCCAUAAUAUCUAACAAGUCGAGUCUUAUGUCGGUCAUAUAGAACACCAACACAUAGAAAAAGGGCUGAAGAAACCAGUCCAUGACUUAACAUAAGGAUUUGGCCGAAAAAGAUGCAACGUUAUGGAUACCAUGACCGAUCACCAUCGAGAAAGAAGAAUUUUGAUAAAUCACUUCGGGUUUGCAAUUAUUUUGAUUUUAUUUGCAUAAAGCAUGGGACUGGGCAUCCCGAUGACCAGCCAUUUUCUCGUGAGUGAGGAGCGGAGUCCACUCCUCUUGAGAAUAACCCGCCUAGCAUGGAAGAUACAGACAACCCUAGUUGAUACAUGAGCUAUUCGAGCAUGCAAAACAGAAUUUCAUUUGAAGGUUUAGAGUUUGGCACAUACAAAUUUACUUGGAACGACAGGUAGAUACCGCAUAUAUAGGAAGGUAUGGUGGACUCAUAUGGAAUAACUUUGGGGUUUAAGGGAUUGGAUGCACAAACAGUAUUCCCGCUUAGUAGAAGUGAAGGCUAGCAAAAGACUGGGAAGCGACCAACUAGAGAGCGACAACAGUCAUGAACAUGCAUUAAAAUUAAUAAACAUUGAGUGCAAGCAUAAGUAGGAUAUAAUCCACCAUGAACAUAAAUAUCGUGGAGGCUAUGUUGAUUUUGUUUCAACUACAUGUGUGAACAUGUGCCAAGUCCAGUCACUUGAAUCAUUCAAAGGAGGAUACCACCGUACUAUACCACAUCACAACCAUUUUAAUAGCAUGUUGGCACGCAAGGUAAACCAUUAUAAACUCCUAGCUAAUUAAGCAUGGCAUAAGCAACUAUAAUCUCUAAUUGUCAUUGCAAACAUGUUUAUUCAUAAUAGGCUGAAUCAGGAACGAUGAACUAAUCAUAUUUACAAAAACAAGAGAGGUCGAAUUCAUACCAGCUUCUCUCAUCUCAAUCAGUCCAUCAUAUAUCGUCAUAAUUGCCUCUCACUUGCACGACCGAACGAUGUGAAAAAAUAAUAAUAGUGCACGUGCAUUGGACUAAGCUAGAAUCUGCGAGCAUUCAAUAAACAGGAGAAGACAAGGCAAUAUGGGCUCUUGGUUAAAUCAACAAUAAUGCAUAUAAGAGCCACUUCAACAAUUUUAUUAUGGUCUUCUCCUAUCGACCCCCAAAGAAAAGAAAAGAAAUAAAACUAUUUACACGGGAAAGCUCCCAACAAGCAAAAGAAGAACAGAAAAUCUUUUUGGGUUUUCUUUUUUAAUUACUACUACUACAGCAUGGAAAGUAAACUAGCUAAAAGCUACAACUGAUCUUUUUGUUUUCUUAAGGUUUUACAAACACACAAGAAGAAAGCAAGAAAAACAAAAUAAACUAGCAUGGAUAUUACAGUGAAAAAGUAUGAGCGCCGACAUCUAGCAAUGAGUGUGUAAACAUAAAUGUAAUGUCGGCGAGAAAUACAUACUCCCCCAAGCUUAGGCUUUUGGCCUAAGUUGGUCUACUGCCAAGGCUGGCUUGGCGGAUAUCCAAAGUUAUAGUUGGGGUCGUACUGAGAAGAAGCCUCGGAUUGCCACUGGUUGGCAAUCACCUCUGGAUCCCACUGGUAAUUAGACUGUCGUGGAGGAUCAAAUUGUGGUUCCGGCUCUGGCUCUGGCUCUGUAGGAUUCCGGUAGGCGUGGAUGGCCGCCAGCGGAAUGAGAUACUGGCCUGCAGAUAAAUCAAACAAGGAAGGAGCAGGCAAGGUAAUAGUCUCAGGGUGAUUCUUAUCAAAUAACAGUUUGUAUUUAAGCGCCCUUUCCCUAUUCUUAACAAUAAAAUCAUGCGCUACCAUACUCUUAUAGUCUAGAAGAAUAGUAGGCAGCAAUUUUUCUUCUUUCUCAUAGUGCCUAAUAGGUAUGUUAUAGUAUGCAGCGAGGUGCGAGGCGAAGAUGCCUCCCAAGAUGGGGCCUUUAGUACGGUUAAGAUUUAACCGCUUUGCAACAAUAGCGCCCAUACUAAAUGUGUCAUCACGAAACAAGGCAUGGCACAAAAUGAUAAUAUCAGGGACACUCAGGUUUCCAUAGUUUCCGCGACCAAUUAAGCACCUACUAGCAAAUAUAGCAAAGUAACGUAGAACAGGAAAAUGUAUGCUAGUGAUUCGUGCGUCGAAAACCUUCCUCGUUUCCCCUACAACAAUUGUAUCAAUAAACCCCUCCACAUCGUUACGAUGUGGUUCCUCUAUGAAACCCGGAAAAGGUAACUUGCAAACCUCACAGAAUUCACGAAGGGUCAUCUCCUUAUACUCAUCAUAUAAAUGAAAAUCCACCGUAGGUGGUGACCUCCUAGAAUGGAAAUGAAAAUUUUGCACAAAGGUAUUGGUGAGUAAGAGAUACUGUUCGCGUUGGUCGCGGAGGAAGUCGGUGAGGCCUGCAUUCUCAGCCAACUCAUAAAAAUCAUCAUAAAUCCCGGCUGCUCUCAAGAAAUCAUCGCAAGGCCAUUCACACGGCCGAACCUCCGUGGUGCGAGGCAGAUUAUAUUUGGGCCUCUCUUCUUCUUCACUUUGCUUUUCCUUCGAGCUUCGGCUCGAUGAGCCCCUCAAAAAUCUCUUCAUCAUUUUCUGAAAAUUUCUGAAAUUUUUAGUAACUUCAAAAUAAAAGUGAACCAAGCUCAACAAAAUUGAUAGCAACUACUCCCAUAAGUGCCUAGAGAAUAUAUCAUGCAUUAGAACUACUUGGAACCAUAUAAAUAUGACAUGCAAGCUCAAGAACAUGGUCACCUAGGCAGCACAAAUUUGCAACGAAUAAAACACUAGAACAAAAACUAAUUGGACCAAUGGAGGAGUCACAUACCAAGGAACAAUCCCUCAAAGCAGUUUUGUGAGAGGUGCCUUGAGCAAGGAGAUCAAAAUGAGCUAGAACUCGUGCUUGAGCUGGUUGGUGAUUUUUUGGGAGGAAGAAGGAGUGUGUGGGUGCAGGAAUAAGUGGAGGGGAGCCACCGUGGGCCCAUGAGGCAGGGGGGGCGCCCAGGGGGGUGGGUGAGCCCUGGACCCUCGUGGCCAGGUGCCAGCUCCCCCUGCUGUGUUCUCAGUGCCAGAUAUUCUCAAAUAUUCCAGAAAAAAUCAUAUUAAAUUGGCAGGGAAUUUGGAGAACUUUCAUUUUCGGGGUAAUUUUUUAUUGCACGGAUAAUGCAGAAAACAGACAGAAAAUACUAAUUUUACUUUAUUUCAACUAAAUAACAGAAAGUAAAAGGAGGGUACAGAAGGUUGUGCUUUCUAACUUCAUCCAUUUCAUGCUCAUCAAAAGGAAUCCACUAACAAGGUUGAUCAGGUCUUGUUAACAAACUCAUUUCGAAUAACAUGAAACCAGAGAAAUUUCGAAUAACACUAUGUUACCUCAAUGGGGAUGUGCACAUCCCCAAUAAUAAGAAUAUCAUAUCUCUUUUUGACGGUAGGAAGAGGAAAUUCAAAACCUCCAAAAAUAAUCAAUGGAAUUUUUCCAAUAGAAUUGAUACUGUGGACUUGAGGUUGUUUCCCCGGAAAGUGUACCGUAUGCUCAUUGCCAUUAACAUGAAAAGUGACAUUGCCUUUGUUGCAAUCAAUAACAGCCCCUGCAGUAUUCAAAAAGGGUCUUCCAAGAAUAAUAGAUAUAUUAUCGUCCUCGGGAAUAUCAAGAAUAACAAAGUCCGUUAAAAUAGUAACGUUUGCAACCACAACAGGCACAUCCUCGCAAACACCGACAGGUAUAGCAGUUGAUUUAUCAGCCAUUUGCAAAGAUAUUUCAGUAGGUGUCAACUUAUUCAAAUCAAGUCUACGAUAUAAAGAGAGAGGCAUAACACUAACACCGGCUCCAAGAUCACAUAAAGCAGUUUUAACAUAGUUUAUUUUAAUGGAGCUAGGUAUAGUAGGUACUCCAGGAUCUCCUAACUUCUUUGGUAUUCCACCCUUAAAAGUAUAAUUAGCAAGCAUGGUGGAAAUUUCAGCUUCCGGUAUCUUUCUUUUAUUUGUAACAAUAUCUUUCAUAUACUUAGCAUAAGGAUUCAUUUUGAGCAUAUCAGUUAAACGCAUACGCAAAAAGAUAGGUCUAAUCAUUUCAGCAAAGCGCUCAAAAUCCUCAUCAUCCUUUUUCUUGGAUGGUUUGGGAGGAAAGGGCAUGGGUUUCUGAACCCAUGGUUCUCUUUCUUUACCAUGCUUCCUAGCAACAAAGUCUCUCUUAUCAUAACGUUGAUUCUUUGAUUGUGGGUUAUCAAGAUCAACAGCAGGUUCAAUCUUUACAUCAUUGUUAUUACUAGGUUGAGCAUCAACAUGAACAUCAUCAUUAGCAUUAUCACUAGGUUCAUGUUCAUUACCAGAUUGUGUUUCAGCAUCAGAAAUAGAAAUAUCAUUUGGAUUCUCAGGUGUGUCUAUAACAGGUUCACUAGAAGCAUGCAAAGUCCUAUCAUUUUUCCUUUUCUUCUUUUUAGAAGGACUAGGUGCAUCUACAUUAUUUCUCUGAGAAUCUUGCUCAAUUCUCUUAGGGUGGCCCUCAGGGUACAAAGGUUCCUGAGUCAAUUUACCCCCUCUAGUCAUAACUCUAACAGCGUUAUCAUUUUUCUUACUAUUUAAUUCAUUGAGCAAAUCAUUCUGAGCUUUAAGUACUUGUUCUACUUGAGUGGUAACCAUAGAAGCAUGUUUACUAAUAAGUUUAAGUUCACCUUUAACUCUAGACAUAUAAUCACUCAAGUGUUCAAGCAUAUAAGAAUUGUGUUUCAAUUGUCUACCAACAUAAGCAUUGAAGUUUUCUUGUUUGACAAUAAAAUUAUCAAACUCAUCUAAGCAUUGGCUAGCAGACUUAUAACGAGGAAUAUCACCUUCAUCAAAUCUAUAGAGAGAAUUUACCUUUACUACCAGUGUCGGGUUACCAAGACCAUGUGUUUCUUCAAUAGGUGAUGGAUUAAGACUAUUUCUUCAACAAGCGGUAAAUUAAGACCAUGUAUUUCUUCAAUAGGAGGUAAAUUCUUAACAUCUUUAGCUUUAAUACCCUUUUCUUUCAUAGAUUUCUUUGCCUCUUGCAUAUCUUCAGGGCUAAGAAAUAGAACACCCCUCUUCUUCGGAGUUAGCUUGGGAGUUGGUUCAGGAAGUGUCCAAUUAUUUUCAUUUGUCAACAUAUUAUUCAAUAGAAUUUUAGCUUCAUCUAGUGUUCUUUCCCUGAAAACAGAACCAGCACAACUAUCCAGGUGGUCUCUGGAAGCAUCGGUUAGUCCAUUAUAAAAGAUAUCAAGUAUUUCAUUUUUCUUAAGAGGAUGAUCAGGCAAAGCAUUAAGUAAUUGGAGAAGCCUCCCCCAAGCUUGUGGGAGACUCUCUUCUUCAAUUUGCACAAAAUUAUAUAUUUCCCUUAAAGCAACUUGUUUCUUACGAGCGGGGAAAUAUUUAGCAGAGAAGUAAUAAAUCAUAUCCUGGGGACUACGCACACAACCAGGAUCGAGAGAAUUAAACCAUAUCUUAGCAUCACCCUUUAAUGAGAACGGAAAUAUUUUAAGGAUAUAGUAGUAGCGAGUUUUCUCAUCAUUAGUGAACAGGGUGGCUAUAUCAUUUAAUUUAGUAAGAUGUGCCACAAAAGUUUCAUAUUCAUAGCCAUAAAAAGGAUCAGAUUCAACCAAAGUAAUUAUAUCAGGAUCAAUAGAGAAUUCAUAAUCCUUAUCAGUAACAAAGAUAGGUGAAGUAGCAUAAGCAGGAUCAUAUUUCAUUCUAGCAUUCAAAGUUUUUUGUUUCAGCUUAGCUAAUAAUUUCUUAAGAUCACUUCUAUGAUUGCAAGCAAGAAAGUCUCUAGCAGUUUCUUCAUCCAUAACAUAGCCCUCAGGCACAACAGGCAAUUCAUAUCUAGGGGGAGAAUCUUCAACAUCACUUUCAUCAAUAUUAUCAGUUUCAAUAAUUUCAUUCUCUCUAGCCCUAGCAAAUUGUUCAUCAAGAAAUUCACCAAGUGGCACAGUAGUAUCAAGCAUAGAAGUAGUUUCAUCAUAAGUAUCAUACAUAGUAGAAGUGGCAUCAUCAAUAACAUGCGACAUAUCAGAAUUAAUAGCAGAAGCAGGUUUAGGUGUCGCAAGCUUACUCAAAACAGAAGGUGAAUCAAGUGCAGAGCUAGAUGGCAGUUCUUUACCUCCCCUCGUAGUUGAGGGAUAAAAUUUUCUUUUCUCGUCUUUCAAGUUCUUCCUAGUGACCAGCAGAUAUAAAUCCCAAGUGACUCAAAGAGUAGAGCUAUGCUCCCCGGCAACGGCGCCAGAAAAUAGUCUUGAUAACCCACAAGUAUAGGGGAUCGCAACAGUUUUCGAGGGUAGAGUAUUCAACCCAAAUUUAUUGAUUCGACACAAGGGGAGCCAAAGAAUAUUCUCAAGUAUUAGUAGUUGAGUUGUCAAUUCAACCACACCUGGAUAACUUAGUAUCUGCAGCAAAGUAUUUAGUAGCAAAGUAAUAUGGAAGUAACGGUAACGGUAGCAAAAGUAAUAUUUUUGGGUUUUGUAGUGAUUGUAAUAGUAGCAAUGGAAAAGUAAAUAAGCGAAGAACAAUAUGUGAAAAGCUCGUAGGCAUUGGAUCGGUGAUGGAGAAUUAUGCCGGAUGCGGUUCAUCAUGUAACAAUCAUAACAUAGGGUGACACAGAACUAGCUCCAAUUCAUCAAUGUAAUGUAGGCAUGUAUUCCGAAUAUAGUCAUACAUGCUUAUGGAAAAGAACUUGCAUGACAUCUUUUGUCCUACCCUCCCGUGGCAGCGGGGUCCUAUGGGAAACUAAGGGAUAUUAAGGCCUCCUUUUAAUAGAGUACCGGACCAAAGCAUUAACACAUAGUGAAUACAUGAACUCCUCAAACUAUGGUCAUCACCGGGAGUGGUCCCGAUUAUUGUCACUUUGGGGUUGCCGGAUCAUAACACAUAGUAGGUGACUAUAGACUUGCAAGAUAGGAUCAAGAACUCACAUAUAUUCAUGAAAACAUAAUAGGUUCAGAUCUGAAAUCAUGGCACUCGGGCCCUAGUGACAAGCAUUAAGCAUAGCAAAGUCAUAGCAACAUCAAUCUCAUAACAUAGUGGAUACUAGGGAUCAAACCCUAACAAAACUAACUCGAUUAUAUGAUAAAUCUCAUCCAACCCAUCACCUUCCAGCAAGCCUACGAUGGACUUACUCAUGCACGGCGGUGAGCAUCAUGAAAUUGGUGAUGGAGGAUGGUUGAUGAUGACGAUGGCGACGGAUUCCCCUCUCCGGAGCCCCGAACGGACUCCAGAUCAGCCCUCCCGAGAGAGAUUAGGGCUUGGCGGCGGCUUCGUAUCGUAAAACACGAUGAAUCUUUCUCUCUGAUUUUUUCUCCCCAAACACGAAUAUAUAGAGUUGGAGUUGAGGUCGGUGGAGCUCCAGGGGGCCCACGAGGCAGGGGCGCGCGCCCAGGGGGGCAGGUGCGCCCCCACCCUCGUGGAAAGGGUGUGGGCCCCUGGCCUUGAUUCUUUUGCGAGUAUUUUUUAUUAUUUCCAAAAAUAAUCUCCGUGAAGUUUCAGGUCAUUCCGAGAACUUUUGUUCCUGCACAUAAAUAACACCAUGGCAAUUCUACUGAAAACAGCGUCAGUCCGGGUUAGUUCCAUUCAAAUCAUGCAAGUUAGAGUCCAAAACAAGGGCAAAAGUGUUUGGAAAAGUAGAUACGACAGAUACGUAUCACAAGUUUCAACACUUGCCUUUUAAUCGUCAUCGCAGAGGCUGCCAGACAAAUUCGCGAUGGUGUUCGACCGCCAUCGACGCGAGAACAGUUGCUUUGGGAUGCCGGACGUCGGCGUCACUUGUGGGACAUGGAUGUAGUGUUCGGCACCGACGAUACUUGCUAUUUAGGGUUCCAUCGACACCGAGGAACCCCUAAUUAACCCGCUCGUCCCCGGGCGCCCCCUUUUCCUACUUCUUUUUUUCAUCUUCAACUUCUACUUCUUUUUUUCAUCAUCUUCUUCUUCAACUACUUAUUGUUCUUUCUUCUUCUUCUUCUUCUUCCUCAUCUUCUUUUUCUUUUUCUUUUUCUUUCAUCUUUCUUGAUUAUUCUUAAAAACAGGAAAAAAACCUAAACAAAACUAUAAACUAAAUGUAACCUAUAAUAAACUAAAUUAACCUAAACUAACCUAAAUAACCUAAACUAACCUAAACUAAACUAACCUAAUUAACCUAAACUAAACAAACAUAAACUAAAUCUAAAAAACAGGAAAAAAAACUCACCACGAUGAGGGGCAGGGCGGCGGCGGUGUGGUGCGGCCGGGCGGCGGCGGCUCAGGACGGGGGCGGGGCGGUGUGGGNNNNNNNNNNNNNNNNNNNNNNNNNNNNNNNNNNNNNNNNNNNNNNNNNNNNNNNNNNNNNNNNNNNNNNNNNNNNNNNNNNNNNNNNNNNNNNNNNNNNNNNNNNNNNNNNNNNNNNNNNNNNNNNNNNNNNNNNNNNNNNNNNNNNNNNNNNNNNNNNNNNNNNNNNNNNNNNNNNNNNNNNNNNNNNNNNNNNNNNNNNNNNNNNNNNNNNNNNNNNNNNNNNNNNNNNNNNNNNNNNNNNNNNNNNNNNNNNNNNNNNNNNNNNNNNNNNNNNNNNNNNNNNNNNNNNNNNNNNNNNNNNNNNNNNNNNNNNNNNNNNNNNNNNNNNNNNNNNNNNNNNNNNNNNNNNNNNNNNNNNNNNNNNNNNNNNNNNNNNNNNNNNNNNNNNNNNNNNNNNNNNNNNNNNNNNNNNNNNNNNNNNNNNNNNNNNNNNNNNNNNNNNNNNNNNNNNNNNNNNNNNNNNNNNNNNNNNNNNNNNNNNNNNNNNNNNNNNNNNNNNNNNNNNNNNNNNNNNNNNNNNNNNNNNNNNNNNNNNNNNNNNNNNNNNNNNNNNNNNNNNNNNNNNNNNNNNNNNNNNNNNNNNNNNNNNNNNNNNNNNNNNNNNNNNNNNNNNNNNNNNNNNNNNNNNNNNNNNNNNNNNNNNNNNNNNNNNNNNNNNGGGCCGGGGCGAGGCGGUGCGGGGUGGCCGGCGACGGGGGUGGCGCGGUGCAGCCGACGACGGGGUUGGCGGCGGCAGGGGUGAGGGGUGGCGGCGGCUCAGGCAGGGGACGGACAGACCAGAGAGGGGGGGCACGGGCACAGGCGGGGCCCCUUUUCUGCUAGUUAGUAGGGCACGGCUCUUUGCCGUCCGCGAGCGGACGACAAAGAUCGUACCUAGUGGGGUGGGGCCGGGGGGAAACGGACGACCUAACGGCCAUUUUCUUUGCCGGCCGCUGGCUGACGGCAAAGAACUUUUUCCGUCCGCCAGCAGACGGCAAAGAAAAUGGUCGUUAGGUCAUCCUCGUAAGCCCACCACCCAUCCUCUUUGCCGUCAGCUAGCAGACGGCAAAGAUAUGUUGAUGGCAAAGCCUUCCGUUGCCGUUCGCUGCCUCUUUGCUGUCCGUUUUCCGGUGGCUGAUGGCAAAGCCUUUCUUUGCCAUCCGCUAGCGGACGGCAAAGAGUCGGCAGACGGCAAAUCUGCUGAUUCCAGUAGUGAUAUGAGAUGUUCUAGGAGUUGAAGUUAAUAUUUCAAGUAAAUGCCUGGUUUGAGAGAUAUGAAGUCUCCAAUAAGUUCUACAGCUGCAAGAUGGAGGAGAAUAGUUCUGUCAGUGAGCAUAUACUCAAAAUGUCUGGGGUAUAACAAUCACUUGAUUCAACUGGGAGUUAAUCUUCCUGAUGAUAGUGUGAUUGACAGAAUUCUUCAAUCACUGCCACCAAGCUACAAGAUCUUCGUGAUGAACUAUAACGUGCAAGGGAUGGAUAAGACAAUUCCCGAGCUCUUCGCAAUGCUAAAGGCUGCGGAGGUAGAAAUCAAGAAGGAGCAUCAAGUGUUGAUGGUCAACAAGACCAUCAGUUUCAAGAAAAAGGGUAAAGGGAAGAAGGGGAACUUCAAGAAGAACGGCGAGCACGUUGCUGCUCAAGUGAAGAAGCCCAAGUCUGGACCUAAGCCUGAGACUGAGUGCUUCUACUGCAAAGGAACUGGUCACUGAAAGCGGAACUGCCCCAAGUAUUUGGCGGAUAAGAAGGAUGGCAAGGUGAACAAAGGUAUAUGUGAUACCUUACUAAUGCUCGCAGUAGUGCCUGGGUAUUUGAUACUGGUUAUGUUGCUAAUAUUUGCAACUCGAAACAGGGACUACGGAUUAAGCGAAGAUUGGCUAAGGACGAGGUGAAGAUGCGCGUGGGAAAUGGUUCCAAAGUCGAUGUGACGCAGUCGGCACGCUACCUCUACAUCUACCUUCGGGAUUAGUUUUAGACCUGAAUAAUUAUUAUUUGGUGCCAGCAUUAAGCAUGAACAUUAUAUCUGAAUCUUGUUUGAUGCGAGACUGUUAUUCAUUUAAAUCAGAGAAUAAUGAUUGUUCUAUUUAUAUAAGUAACAUCUUUUAUGGUCAUGCACCCUUAAAGAGUGUUCUAUUUUUGUUGAAUCUCGAUAGUAGUAACACACAUAUUCAUAAUAUUGAAGCCAAAAGAUGCAGAGUUGAUAAUGAUAGUGCAACAUAUUUGUGGCACUGCCGUUUAGGUCAUAUUGGUGUAAAGCGCAUGAAGAAACUCCAUUCUGAUGGACUUCUGGAAUCACUUGAUUAUGAAUCAAUUGGUACUUGCGAACCAUGCCUCAUGGGCAAGAUGACUAAAACGCCGUUCUCCGGAACAAUGGAGCAAGCAACAAAUUUGUUGGAAAUCAUACAUACUGAUAUAUGUGGUCUGAUGAAUGUUGAGGCUCGCGGCGGGUAUCGUUAUUUUCUCACCUUCACAGAUGAUUUGAGAAGAUAUGGGUAUAUCUACUUGAUGAAGCAUAAGUCUGAAACAUUUGAAAAGUUCAAAGAAUUUCAUAGUGAAGUGGAAAAUCAUCGUAACAAGAAAUUAAAGUUUCUACGAUAUGAUCAUGGAGGAGAAUAUUUGAGUUACGAGUUUGGUCUUUAUUUGAAACAAUGCAGAAUAGUUUCACAACUCACGCCACCCGGAACACCAAAGCGUAAUGGUGUGUCCGAAUGGCGUAAUCGUACUUUACUAGAUAUGGUGCGAUCUAUGAUGUCUCUUACUGAUUUACCGCUAUCGUUUUGGGGUUAUGCUUUAGAGAUGGCAUCAUUCACGUUAAAUAGGGCACCAUCUAAAUCCGUUGAGAGGACGCCUUAUGAACUGUGGUUUGGCAAGAAACCCAAGUUGUCAUUUCAUAAAAUUUGGGGUGCGAUGCUUAUGUGAAAAAUCUUCAACCUGAUAAGCUCGAACCCAAAUCGGAGAAAUGUGUCUUCAUAGGAUAAUCAAAGGAGACUGUUGGGUACACCUUCUAUCACAGAUCCGAAGGCAAGACAUUCGUUGCUAAGAAUGGAUCCUUUCUAGAGAAGGAGUUUCUCUCGAAAGAAGUGAGUGGGAGGAACUAGAACUUGAUGAGGUAACUGUACCUGCUCCCUUAUUGGAAAGUAGUUCAUCACAGAAAUCUGUUCCUGUGACUCCUACACCAAUUAGUGAGGAAGCUAAUGAUGAUAAUCAUGUAACUUCAGAUCAAGUUACUACCGAACCUCGUAGGUCAACCAGAGUAAGAUCCGCACCAGAGUGGUACGGUAAUCCUGUUCUGGAGGUCAUGUUACUUGACCAUGACGAACCUACGAACUAUGAGGAAGUGAUGAUGAGCCCAGAUUCCGUGAAAUGGCUUGAGGCCAUGAAAUCUGAGAUGGGAUCCAUGUAUGAGAACAAAGUGUGGACUUUGGUUGACUUGCCCGAUGAUCGGCAAGCCAUCGAGAAUAAAUGGAUCUUCAAGAAGAAGAUUGACACUGACGGUAAUGUUACUGUCUACAAAGCGCGACUUGUCGCGAAAGGUUUUCAACAAGUUCAAGGAGUUGACUACGUUGAGACCUUCUCACCUGUAGCGAUGCUUAAGUCCGUCCGAAUCAUGUUAGCAAUUGCUGCAUUUUAUGAUUACGGAAUUUGGCAAAUGGAUGUAAAGACUGCAUUCCUGAAUGGAUUUCUGGAACAAGAGUUGUAUAUUAUGCAACCCGAAGGUUUUAUUGAUCCAAAGGAUGCUAACAAAGUGUGCAAGCUCUAGCGAUCCAUUUAUGGACUGGUGCAAGCAUCUCAGAGUAGGAAUAAACGUUUUGAUAGUGUGAUCAAAGCAUAUGGUUUUAUACAGACUUUUGGAGAAGCCUGUAUUUACAAGAAAGCUAGUGGGAGCUCUGUAGCAUUUCUAAUAUUAUAUGUGGAUGACAUAUUGUUGAUUGGAAAUGAUAGAAUUUCUGGAUAGCAUAAAAGGAUACUUGAACAAGAGUUUUUCAAUGAAAGACCUCGGUGAAGCUGCUUAUAUAUUGGGCAUCAAGAUCUAUAAAGAUAGAUCGAGACGCUUAAUUGGACUUUCACAAAGCACAUACCUUGAUAAAGUUUUGAAGAAGUUCAAAAUGGAUCAAGCAAAGAAAGGGUUCUUGCCUGUGUUACAAGGUGUGAAGUUGAGUCAAACUCAAUGCCCGACCACUGCAGAAGAUACAGAGAAAAUGAAAGUUUUUCCCUAUGCUUCAGCCAUUGGCUCUAUCAUGUAUGCAAUGUUGUGUACCAGACUUGAUGUGUGCCUUGCUAUUAGUUUAGCAGGGAGGUACCAAAGUAAUCCAGGAGUGGAUCACUGGACAGCGGUCAAGAACAUCCUGAAAUACCUGAAAAGGACUAAGGAUAUGUUUCUCGUUUCUGGAGGUGACAAAGAGCUCGUCAUAAAUGGUUACGUCGAUGCAAGCUUUGACACUGAUCCGGAUGACUCUAAGUCGCAAACCGGAUAUGUAUUUAUAUUGAAUGGUGGAGCUGUCAGUUAGUGCAGUUCUAAGCAAAGCGCUAUGGCGGGAUCUACGUGUGAAGUGGAGCACAUAGCUGCUUCGGAAGCGGCAAAUGAAGGAGUCUGGAUGAAGGAGUUCAUAUCCGAUCUAGGUGUCAUACCUAGUGCAUCGGGUCCAAUGAAAAUCUUUUGUGACAAUACUGGUGCAAUUGCCUUGGCAAAGGAAUCCAGAUUUCACAAGAGAACCAAGCACAUCAAGAGACGCUUCAAUUCCAUCUGCGAUCAAGUCAAGGAGGGAGACAUAGAGAUUUACAAGAUACAUAUGGAUCUGAAUGUUGCAGACCCGUUGACUAAGCCUCUCUCAUGAGCAAAGCAUGAUCAGCACCAAGACUCCAUGGGUGUUAGAUUCAUUACUGUGUAAUCUAGAUUAUUGACUCUAGUGCAAGUGGGAGACUGAAGGAAAUAUGCCCUAGAGGCAAUAAUAAAGUUGUUAUUCAUAUUUCCUUAUAUCAUGAUAAAUGUUUAUUAUUCAUGCUAGAAUUGUAUUAACCGGAAACUUAGUACAUGUGUGAAUACAUAGACAAAUAGAGUGUCACUAGUAUGCAUCUACUUGACUAGCUCGUUGAAUCAAAGAUGGUUAAGUUUCCUAGCCAUAGACAUGAGUUGUCAUUUGAUUAAUGGCAUCACAUCAUUAGAGAAUGAUGUGAUUGACUUGACCCGUUCCGUUAGCAUAGCACUUGAUCGUUUAGUAUGUUGCUAUUGCUUUCUUCAUGACUUAUACAUAUUCCUAUGACUAUGAGAUUAUGCAACUCCUGAAUACCGGAGGAACACUUAGUGUGCUACCAAACGUCACAACGUAACUGGGUGAUUAUAAAGGUGCUCUACAGGUGUCUCCGAUGGUAAUUGUUGAGUUGACAUAGAUCGAGAUUAGGAUUUGUCACUCCGAUUGUCGGAGAGGUAUCUCUGGGCCCUCUCGAUAAUGCACAUCACUAUAAGCCUUGCAAGCAAUGUGACUAAUGAGUUAGUUGCAGGAUGAUGCAUUACGGAACGAGUAAAGAGACUUGCCGGUAACGAGAUUGAACUAGGUAUUGAGAUACCGACGAUCGAAUCUCGGGCAAGUAACAUACCGAUGACAAAGGGAACAACGUAUGUUGUUAUGCGGUUUGACCGAUAAAGAUCUUUGUAGAAUAUGUGGGAGCCAAUAUGAACAUCCAAGUUCCGCUAUUGGUUAUUGACCGGAGACGUGUCUCGGUCAUGUCUACAUAGUUCUCGAACCCGUAGGUUCCGCACGCUUAACGUUCGGUGACGAUCGGUAUUAUGAGUUUAUGUGUUUUGAUGUACCGUAGAUAGUUCGGAGUCCCGGAUGUGAUCACAGACAUGACGAGGAGUCUCGAAAUGGUCGAGACAUAAAGAUUGAUAUAUUGGAUGACUAUAUUCGGACACCAGAUGAGUUCCGGGGGUCACCGGAUAAUUAUCGAAGUGCCGGGGGGUUAUCGGAACCCCCAGGGGAACUAAUGGGCCAACAUGGGCCUUGUGAGAGAGAGGAGGGGGCCUUAGGGCUGUCCGCCCCCCCCCCUUGUGGAGUCCGAAUUGGACAAGGAGGGGGCGGCGCCCCCUCUUUCCCUCCUCCUCUCCCUCUCCUUCCUUCCCCCUUCCUCCUCCUAGUAGGACUAGGAAAGGGGUGUCCUACUCCUACUAGGAGGAGGACUCCUCCUCUCCUGGCGCGCCCCAAGGGCCGACCGGCCUCCCCCCUUGCUCCUUUAUAUACGGGGGCAGGGGGCACCCUAGAACACACAAGUUGAUCAUUGAUCUCUUAGCCGUGUGCGGUGCCCCCCUCCACCAUAAUUCACCUUGGUCAUAUUGUUGCAGUGCCUAGGCUAAGCCCUGUGCCGGUAGCUUCAUCAUCACCGUCAUCACGCUGUCGUGCUGACGAAGCUCUCCCUCGACACUCAGCUGGAUCGAGAGUUCGUGGGACGUCACCGAGCCGAACGUGUGCAGAUCGCGGAGGUGCCGUACUUUCGGUACUAGGAUCGGUCGGAUCGUGAAGACGUACGACUACAUCAACCGCGUUGUCAUAACACUUCCGCUUACGGUCUACGAGGGUACGUGGACUACACUCUCCCCUCUCGUUGCUAUGCAUCACCAUGAUCUUGAGUGUGCGUAGGAUUUUUUUUGAAAUUACUGCGUUCCCCAACAGUGUGAUCAUGCACAACAUGAUCAUCGAGAAUGAGCGUGGCCAAGAUGUAGACUACUCUCAGUAUGAGCUCUUGAGACAUCCCGUGCGAGUGCGACGGAGGGCUGAAAGGGUGGCCCUUUUGUUGACUCCUAUCAUGCCAUCCGACGUCCCGCGGCGCAUGAUGAUCUUCAGAAGGAUCUCAUUGAGGAGUGGUGGGCUUGGAAUGGGUGACAAAGCAUCAUGAUUUGUGCGUUUGAUAUCGUAUUGUUGAACUAUUUGUUGUAUUGUUGACUAUUUGUUGUAUUGAACGAUAAACUAUUUGUUUGAGUUGUAAUAGCGAAAUUGAACUAUUUAUUUUGUUUGUGUUUGAUCUUUUUGCUUGUGUUUGAAAUGCAUAAAGUUGUUUGUGCGAGUGUCACGCGCGCUUCAUUUUUGCGCGCUGGUAGAGCUGCGCGCGCGCUGCAUUUUAGCGCGGCUGCUGGAGCCAGCGCUGCCCGUCGCGCCAAAUCAGGCGAUAGGCGCGCGGCAAAAUAGUUUUUAAGGCGCAACACGUUGGACGGCUGUUGGAGAUGCUCUUAAUCUGAUGCUGGGUUAGUUGAUGAGCAUGAGAUGACGCAGACAUAUUUUGCACCCGCGGCGUACGUAGCUGUAAGCCUGUAAGUGUGGUCAAUGUUACUCCACUGCAUAUCCUCAAACGUACUACUACCACAAGAAUACAAGAUUAGUACAUUGGGUCAUCUCGUAAUUUAGGCCAAGUUCUAACCAACAAAAGUUUAUAGUAUACUGGAUAGAAGCGUUGGCACAUUUGCUGCAUCCUUGGUGUUGUUAGGUUUUCAUAAUUUUUUACUCGUUCCAAAAAUAUAAGAUGCAUUAGUUUUGAAAAAAUCAAAUCUCUUUAAGUUUGAUAAAAUUUGUAGAGAAAUAUAUCGAUAUUCGUAAUAUCAAAUUUGUAUGAAUAUCCAUAAUAUCAAAUUGGUAUAAUUAAAUUCACCAUGAAAUAGACUUUUUAUUUUUUUAUUUAGUAUUUGUGGAUGUUGAUUUUUUGGGCUCUGAACUUGGUCAAAGUUUAAAAAAUCAACUUUUCCAAAAACAAAUACACCAUAUAUUUUAGAACCGUGGGAGUAUUUGAUUUGGCGUGUGGGGAAGAUGAUGGAGUGUGUUAUUCUUUCUAUUUAUAACACGGUGUUAGAGGGCCUUUCGUAGUGUGAUUCUGUGUUAUCUGCCAAUCAUCCUAUAGCUAUGUGGGGAAAUUUUCUGCUUCGGUUUUCAUGUACUAUAUUUGUGCUACAAUACCACAUGUUAGCGCUGUUUUUCCUAGUUGACGAGAGGUGCGCAGGGUUCAUAUGGUUUAUAGGUUAGUUGUUGUCGAUUGAUCUGAUUUUUUUUGACACAGUCAAAAUAUGAACCAAAUACAUAAUUGAAUACCUCAAUCGAUGAAAAAGCUCCUAAAUUAAGGAGCACAUUACUAAAAGAAUCAAAAGAGAGAGCUUCAUGAGUAAUUGUUGACCCGGCCAAGUGAACUGAAAGAACUAAGUGAGAGAGCUUCUUGAAAAAUUGUUUAACCUGGUCAAAAUUAGAUGACCAGAUUUCAAAUUGAAGACGUUAGUUGAUUAUGAGACCUUAAAAAUUAAGAACCACGAUACAUUUACUAUAAGGGUUGGACGUGCUUUGCUCACGCCGUUGAUGUUGCAUGCAUGUACAUGAUCGACCUAAGUACGCUAUGGGGGGCUUAACAGUGGUAUAGAAACUUUUUAUUUUGCGUUUGCUAAAUCUCAUAUAUCUAAAAUUCACGGGUCGGUCGAAUUCACAGCAUGGCUAAAGCUUAGGCGAUGUGACGAGUGGGAGCGAAGAGCGUCAUCCCCAAUGAGACCGAGCCAAGACCUCGUCAGAGGCGGGGAGGGUGUUGCAAGGGAUAGCGGGCUGCGCGAUCCUAGGUGAAGGCGAUGAAGCUAGUUAACUGAUGUGGGUCAUCAGAGAAAUCUGGUCGGGGUGCAAUGUUUAGAGGGACGGUCGAGGGCGGCGGUAGAACUAUGGUGUAGGAGGCUAGGGGAAGGCGAGCACUGAGGCGACGGCAGGCCGCCGGUCUAGUGCUGGAAAGCAGGCUAGAGAAGGAACGGCUGGAGGCUGAAGAAAGUAUGGGAGCCAUUUGUUUUUGAUAAAAAAAUCAGCAAAUUCCACUAACACAUGACCAAACCCCAACGGCACAAAACCAAACCCUAAGAGCGUCUCCAAUAGACGCCGAACGCGCCGCGCGCUAAAAACUGCUUUGCCGCACGCCUAUCAACUGGUUUGGUGCGGCGCGCAGCGCUGGCUCCAGCAGCGCGCAAAAAAUGCAGCACGCGCUCAUUCUACAACAUUUUUAAAUUACAUAGAUAAAAAACGAUACAAAGGUAUUUUAUAUCGGUGCAACUAGAUAGAUAGUUCGAAAGCAUAGAUAGAUAGAACUACGGUGCAACUAGAUAGAAACUACUACGGCAUACAUAGAUAGAAACUACUCCAAGUCGCUACCAUCAUCACCAUCAUCAUCCUCGUCGGUGUUGUCCGAGGUAUCGAGCCAUAUGUCGUCCCAACGUUCAUCGUCUGACGUGAAGAUCGACCUCCCACCUGCUUCAACGAUAUCGCACUGCGCAUUCGCCAAUGCCUUCCGCCGACGCCGGUCGGCACGGUCCAUGUCGGUGAUGAGACGCGGCGGAGGGGCGACGCGCUGCGCCUCCUCGCGCGUGAAGACGUCCCGGAAGUUCAUCUGCGACCGGGGCCUCUCCAAGCGCCACGCCGCCGCGUCGUACGCGCGGGCCGCCUCGUGCGCGCGGGCCGCCUCGUGCGCGCUUCGGAACGACCCGAGGCCGAGCCGGACGUCGCCGGACCGGAUCUCGGCGGAGUACCAGCCAUUGGGGCGCUCGCGGACGCCGCGGUAGCCCGAAGAACCCCGGCGGCGCGGCGGCAUGGCGGCGCGGUGGUGGCGCGGAAAGCGGCGAAGCGGCGAGGUUGCGAGGGGAGGGCGCGUGGCUGUGUUCUGUGCGCGUGGCGAGCGCGGGAUUUUAUAGGCGCGCGCGAAGCGGCGCGCCAAAUCUACCGCACCGCGUGCCGCUUUCUCCCGCGCGCGCGCAAACGCUUCCCGCGCGCGGUAAGUUCCCGCCACCGCUGGAGCGCGCGGAACCAGCCGGCGCGCGCUAAAACCAAACUUUACCGCGCGGGCGCGUCUUUUGCCGCGCCUGUUGAAGAUGCUCUAACUACAGAGAGCGGAGGAACGGGGUCCGCCUCCCUCCUACCGCUGGAGCAGCAGUCGGAGGGAGAGGGAACCAGCCCUGGCAUGUGUAGAUCGAAGGUAGAGGAUCGUCUCCCUAGUUGCCUUCACGUGGCGGCGGCUAGGUUAGGGAAAAUGACGUGCUCUUUAUUUGACAGGGUUGGUAUAUACAUAGAAACGUAUACACACUCUCAGGUAUACAAGAUUAAUACUCCCUUCGUUUCAGUUUACAAGUGCUGCACGUAUACUUAGGUUGUCGAUUUUAUCACCCUAAUAUAAACUACAUAACACAAAAAUUAAACCGUUUGAAAAUAUAACAUCUGAAGUUUAUAUUGGCAUAUUUUUUGUAAUAUACGACUUGUAUUAGGUUGGUCAAACUGAUGACCUAGGGAUACGCGCACGUCCUGUAAACUAAGAGAGAGGAAGUAGUAACAAGAUGGUUUGGAUUCCACCAAAACAGUGUACAAGGAAGGCGAAGGGCAACCGACCGACCUACUUAAUUACGUCCUCGUCGUUAAUACUCGUAUGACCAUGCAAUGCCGCGAAUGCAGUCUUGACAAGGCAGCAUGAUGAAAAGUGCAUGGAGGGACAGCUCCUGACACGGCAAGGGAGGAUCAUCAGAAGAUGCGGUAGGAACCAACCUUUUCUCCCCCCGAAACCAAGUAGGUGGAACUUUGAAGGACGAACCUCCCGAGCCGCACGCGCGGGCGGCUCCGGAGGCCCCAAACCCUAGCGCCAGAAACCCUCCCUUCCCGAGAUCCCCCAGCCGUCGCUGCCGCCGGCGCCGGCGGUAGUGGCGGCGCCCGGCCGUCAAAGGCGGCGGGCAUGGCGAGCGCGCCCCGACGGGCCUCCCUCGCGCGAGGGAGCGGCGUCAGCGGGCGGCGUGGGUGGAUUUCUCCGGUGCGGUGGUCCACGGCGAGGGGCGCAGCGGCGGGGCGGAGCACGGCCGGAUCUUGCACAGGAGGCGCGGGAGGGUGUUUCCGUUCGGGAGGCGCCGGCGUAGGAGAGUGGUGGCGGCGCGGUUCGGCCAUGGUGGUGGCGGCGCGGCUCGGCCAUGGUGGAGGCGGCGCUCGUCCUGGUGUGCGGCGGCAGCGCGGAUCGUCUUGGAGGAGGCGGCACUCGUCCUGGUGUGCGGCGGCGGCCUCCUGGUGGCGGCGCCCAGCCGUGGUGGUUGGUGGCCUCCUGGUGGCAUUUCUGGAUCUGGGGUAGGCCCUUGGCCGCGACCGCUGUGUUGCUGCCGGAUGCUGCCUGGAGUGGGUGUGUUUGGCUGCUGCAUGUGGUGCGGCGGUCCUUGGCUGUGCCGAUAGCGGUGGAUGAUCUGGAGCUGCGGGAUCUUGCUGUGCGGGAGGAGGAAGAAGGGCUGCGUAUCUUCGGCUGUGCGGGGUGUCGGUGUUCCGCGACAUUUUCAUCACAUUGGCGAGGUGCUGCGGUGGUGGCGGAGUGAGUCAACAUGGACAGCGGCCUCAUUCAGGUGGGCAGGGAUGGUGGUGUGCGACGACACGGAUGAAAAUCCCGCCCGUCUUUGGUCGGUGCUAGCGGCGAUGGCGCCUGUGGGUGUCGUUCCCCUCCUUGGAGGCGUCGCGGAGGUGUGUCGGCAUCCCCCCUUUCCUACUUGGGUGGUUGUCUCCGGGUGAAAGCCCAGAUUCGUUCUCGGAUCGGCGAUGGCGGCGUCUUUGCGGCGUUACUCUGUUGGGAGCAUCGUGUGGGGAGACAUGGCUGGGAGGUUUCAUGUUGCGGUUCUUCGGUGCUCACCGCUGGUCCAAGUACAUCUUCUUCGGCGCUAUGUACGCCGUCGAUGGAGAGUCAAAGACGAUGGCUUUGUAGGGAUCAAUCGAGUCCCGCCACCCACUCGCCAUCUCCUUUUAGGCAUUCAAAGGUGGUUGGUGCGUCGACAAGGGAGAUCCGGGUUUAGCUAUUGCUCUUCGAGGUGACCGUCGUCGGUAGAGACGCGGCUUAGAUGUUUUGUCGUCGGUAGAGACGCGGCUUAGAUGUUUUUGCUUAGGGCAGGCUCCGUGCGUUGUGUUGUAACGUGUGCAGGGUUAAUCUUCGGAUGUGCGUUGUGUUGUAACGUGUGCAGGGUUAAUCUUCGGAUUAGUCCGGUGUGUGCUACUUUUGUUGUUCGCAACAAGAAGUAGAGUCUUGUAAUUGUUUUCUGCCUUCUAUAAAAAUAUGAUACGCCGUGGAAAAAAAAAUUCGGUAAAACGCUGACGCCAGCAACUAGCCCCUGACACACACUGCCAUGGCCUGCGGCGUCGUACGUGUUGAUUCCGUGCUCGUCUCGCCCAGCCGGGCUGCAUAUAAAGCUAGCCUGCCUCGCCAUUCCACGCCAGCCAGCGCCCGCUUCCACGCCUCCCACUCCGCUCCGGCCGGCCGCCGUCCUCGAUCGAUCGGCACUGCACUUGGGGUGCGUACCACUGCCUUUUUCUUGCGUGGAUCGCCUUCUUUACUCGCCGUUCCAUUCUUGUGCGAUCUGGCCUUCACCUUGGGUAUCUGCAUAGAAUUACAUGCGUAUGUGACCGGCCGCCGGGGAUGUGAGUGCUGCCGGGUGUGUUCAUGCGUGCGUGUUUACUGAUCUUUCUUGGGAGAGUAUGUGAUGCAUUCAUGCGUGCGUGCGUCCGUGCAAGUGCGUAUCGUUCGUGUGCGUGACUCGCCUCGUAUCUUGUGGCUUGCUUGCAGGGGUACGGUCUAAGGCAGCGAUGAUGCUCUCCAUGGAUCUUGCGCCCGCGACGCUAGCCAACAUCGCGCUCGCCGGUUUGCACCCAAUACCGACCAAGCUAGAUCUACCCACCUACUGCAUGCAUGUUCCGAGAGAUCUUAGACUACCCACAAUAAAAGUAACAUAUAUAGUAAUAUCACACAUAUCUAAAUAAAAUAGAUGAUGUGGCAAGCAAUAAAUGAAAAAAUGGAGAAAAGUGAUAACAUAGCUAGUUACUAGUAGUAGACUAGCCACAAUGAAGAGUAACGAUGCUCUUCAAGAUACAGAUCUGAGGCCGAAAAACGCCCCCCAUCUCCCCCUCCCGGUCGCUCCCGCGAGCGCCGCGGAGGGGAAACCCUAGCCGCCGGCCUCCGACCCCUCCCCUUCCCCUCCCCCCUCGCCGCCGCCGGCUCGCGCGGACGGGCGAAGCCCUGUCUGCGUCGGCGGCGGCGGGGCAUCUCUUCCCCUGCUCUGUCACGGGCUGGCGCGGGCCGGCGUGGACGGGUGGUGGCGCAGCGCGAGCAGAGGGCGCGGCGGCGUGGCGGCGGGACUGGUGCUUGGUCGGCCGUGCGAAGGGCUCUGUGGUGGUGGUCCUUGCGCGUGCGCGGGCGGGGGUUCCUGUUCGUGCGGCGCCGGAUCUGUGGCGGCGGCCACUGACGGGCGGCGCACCGGCUCCCCUGCGGUGGGUGGCCGGUGCUGAUGCGGAAGGCCGCCAUGUCUGGCCGCGUAGGCGGCGGGCUAGCGGCAGGCUCGGAGCUGGCUCCGGGGGUCUCCCCGUUGGCCCCUUGGAGCGGAUCUGACGGCGGCCCCCUCCCCUGCGCCUCUUCUUGCCUCGCCGGCCUGCGAGGCGGGCAUCAGUGUGCCCGGUGCUCGCGGCUGGUUGGGGAUGGAGGGUUUGGAGGGCUGGACCGGGGGAAACCCUUGGUCUGCGGCUGCGUCCACGGUGCCGGCGACGCUCUGGCGUCUCCUCUAGGGGCGGCAUCGAGGUCCUCCCUCCACCCUCUUCCUCCGCGACCUGGGCGAAAGCCCAAACCCUUCGGUUGGGUGGUGAUGGCGCUAUGGCGUCGUGGUCCUUCUUGAAGGCGCCACCUUUGGUUGGCGGAUGGGUGGUCGAGGCUUCGCAGGUGGAGGGGUGUCUUCCUCAAUGGUGUUCCGGCUUGGCUGCCUUCGGUCGACAUUGAUCCGGGCUGCGGCGGUGAUGAAGUAUGGGAUGUGGCGGUGCAAGGUGAGGCGGCCGUGCUUGCGUCCUCUCCAUGGCGUCCUGUUGGUCCGGCCUUCCGCUCGGGUGAGCGGCUUUACCUGCCGACGGCGUCUUCGGAGGUAGAGACAGCCGGUCGAUCGGAAUUGUUUGGGCCUCGGUGGAGUUGACAAUGUGUGGCUUCCUCCGGCUGCGGGUUACUUCCCUGUCUUUGUCGUGUCGUAGGCAGGUUCGAGUUAACCGAGUUAGCGGUUCUUCCGGUGUCUUGUAUCUUUACCGUUCUUGCUCUUUUUUUCUGUUGUUGUAUGUCUGUUGUAUGCUGGAUGUGGUGCUUUAUAAUAUAAAGCGGGGGAAACCCUUUUUCUUACAAUGGAGAGUAACAUACACUAGUAACAUAUACAUAUCCCUAGACUAUGUUAUUACCUUUAUAGUGGGUAGUAACAUAAGUAUGGUAACAUGCAAUGCCUCAUUUAUUAGGUUAUAGACUCAUAUUGCAUUGAGACAUGUGAUGUUACAGUAACUAGCUAAGUUACUCAAACUACCUCUCUCCUUAUUAACUCAUUGCCACAUAAGCAAAUUCGCUGAGACUCGAUGUUACUGCUCCCACUGUGGCUAGUCGUAGUAUGAAUAACAUCACAUAUAUCAAGGCAAAAUGAGUCUAUAGCCUAAUAAAUGAAGUGUUGCAUGUUCCACACAUAUGUUACUCCCACUAUAGAGGUAAGUAACAUAGACUAGUAAGAGCAACUCUAGUAGACCCCGCAAAACGCCCGGCCCGCAAAAAUUCCGGCGAGUAUGCGGGCUCGGCCCAAUUUUCCGGCCAGAACAGAGCCCGCAUACUCGCCCGGCCCGCAAAAAUUUUUGCGGCAGCCCGCAAUCCGCACGCCCCGAGCAGUAUAACUGCGGUUCCGCGACCCUUUUGCGGGUCCAAACCCUAUCCCUCCGCCGCCGCGAGCCACCCGAUUCCCCUUUCCUCUCUUCCAAUUUCUCGCCGCCGGCGACCACCCGCCACGCCUUCAGCCGCCAUGUGGGGGCGCAUGUGGAGCUCCGGACGCGGUUCCGGCAGCAGAUCCGACCGUGAGCGCGAGCGGCGCGUCCGGUCAGACGGCGCGAGGAAGCGCGGCGCCCGGAGGUGGACUAACCACGGGAUGUCGCAGCCGGCGAGCUUCAACCGCCGCGAGACGGAGGAGUACGACCGGCGUGCGUCCUUCUCCUCCGCGAUGUCCUACGCCGGAUCCUCCUCGUCCUCCGGCGCGGGCUUCCUCCUCGUGAAGAGGGAGUGGUCGGACGACGAGGAGGAGCCGGAGCCGCCGGCGCCGUUCGCAGUAUGUGAUGAACUAUGUAGUAUGUGAUGAACUAUUAGUACAAUUUCUUCCGCGAAAGUGUUUUUUCAAAUUAUGCAGGUUUUGAUACGAGUUCUGUUCUGCCGCGCAUGUUUUCGACCGCAAACAUGAUCUAAGUGAAACCACAAAUCGUGUUUUGCAGGUCGAAUUUUUGCGGGAUCUGCUAGAGUUGCUCUAACAUGUGCAUGUUAUUAAUCUAUAUUGCUACCUAUUGUGGCUAGUCUUACUUAUUUACGUUGCCUUAUUUCUUGAUCUGCGUGCAGGUGAUGCCUUUACCUUUAUGCUGUUCCUCGUCCCCGCGUACGUAUUUCCAACCCCGAUACCAAAUGACGUGUUCGUUCCUUCCUUCUUAGUUAAUUACAUACUCCGAUCCAUAGGUGAAAUUGCAUGGGCAUAUGUGAGUAUGUUGGUUGAUGAAUCGAUCUGAGCGAAUAACCAACGCCGCCGACGUGCUGACUGGACUAAUUGCGUGUGUAUGUCCCAUGCACCGGCAGGUUCACCACGAUGCCCGCCAUCUGCCGGUCCGGCACCGUCGGGAGUAGAUGUCAGAUUUAUUAGGGUUGAUGCCUAGUAUCUAAUAUGUUUCAUGAUUGAUAUUUUUAUGAUUUUGCUAAGCUUAUCACUAGGGCCGAGUGCCAUGAUGGAAAAGGUGCAGAUGCAACCCUUCAUUAUAGACUAUAUCUGUAAGCUUUGAUUAAUCACACAUAUUCAGUUGAUAAGGUAGUUUAGAUUAAUUAGUGACACAGUCCAUAUGUGUCCGCUCAUGUCCGCUAGGCGGACAAAUGAUCUAAACGGACAAAAAAUACAAAAUCCGUAUCCGUUUAGGUCUUUGUGUUGGAGUUGGUCGAACUUGACACGCUAGUGUUAAUACAUAGAUUUUGUUAGAAAAGGAGGAUGACCCCCGGUCUCUACAUCUGGAAGAUGCAUGCAGCCACUUUAUUGAUUAUUCUCAAGGACCUUACAAAGUAUUACAACAAUAUGCCUGAAACCGCCAUUUUGGCAACAUCUGCCGCUACUCCUAUCCAUAUGAUGAAGGGGUGCUAGCUGGGCCACUACCCAAACCACUCACCUAAGCCUAACAUCAAAAGCCGGAAGCCCAGCCAAGCCACAUACCGGGUCUGGGGCACAAACUGGUCUGACGCACUCGCAUGUGUCGUCACCGCCAUCUUCCAUAGGCCCGUUUUCAGAGCAGAUAUUGAGGUUUCUACCUUGUCUGGCCACUCUGCCAUCGACAUCACCAUGACGCCAGACAGCUACCUCCUCCUGCGCGAGUCCAUCACCAUGCAUCGGACGCCGAGUCUCCACAGCGCCAUGCCGCCGAUAUCCGCCGCCCUCAAUGUGUGGGAUAAAGCACCACUCCACCAUCCCUCCAGCGAGCACUUACUCCAAAACGAUGCCCCCAAAAGGGAAAGUGAUAAACACCAUCAUCCCCCGAUCCGGAAGACCCAGAUCUAGAGUUCCCCCGGAGCAUCCCGAGCCUGACGAUGCAAACUGCAACGACGAUGCCUCGACAAGGGAACGACAUCAAAUACGCCGCCAUCGUCCGCCAUGACCGUAGUCGGUGCGUCUUCAUCGGCAGUUGCUCCACCAUACAUGCGCCGCCAGCGUCGCUGGUCCCUUCAACCGGAGUAAACUCCAAAACGAUGCCCUGAAGAGGGACUACGACGCAAAAGCACCGCCAUCGCUCGAUCCCAAGAAGAUCUAGGGUUUCCCCCGGAGUUGCCCGCGCUGCAAGGACCAGACAAGGGUAGAAUCUUGGCGGAUCCUCUCAGCUGCCGACGAGUCGCACCCGCCACCGCGCCGACGGCAAUCCAGCGACCAAGGCCCACACCUGGGCCCAGAUCCGGCCGUGCCGCCGCGAACCCAUCUGGUCACGCCGCCGCCGUCCUUGGCGACCGCGACGCACCAGACUGCGAAGCUGCCGGCCCGCGCCAGCCCCACGAGUCCCCGCCGCCGCCGGCGACAGCAAGGCUUCGCCUGGCCGUGCCCUUGGGCGGCGGCGAGGGAGGAGGAGGAGGAGAGGUGGAGUNNNNNNNNNNNNNNNNNNNNNNNNNNNNNNNNNNNNNNNNNNNNNNNNNNNNNNNNNNNNNNNNNNNNNNNNNNNNNNNNNNNNNNNNNNNNNNNNNNNNNNNNNNNNNNNNNNNNNNNNNNNNNNNNNNNNNNNNNNNNNNNNNNNNNNNNNNNNNNNNNNNNNNNNNNNNNNNNNNNNNNNNNNNNNNNNNNNNNNNNNNNNNNNNNNNNNNNNNNNNNNNNNNNNNNNNNNNNNNNNNNNNNNNNNNNNNNNNNNNNNNNNNNNCACGCGGGGUCCACUAGCGAAGGGAGACCAUCAAUAUGUAGAUGGUCUAUUUUAACACAUAAGAACUAGACUUUGACCAUGUAGUAGUAAACUAUUAUGAAGUGAUUACGUACGUGGAAGCUUUGUAUAUACAUAUAUGUCAGUUGUUGGACUGGUGGAUUAACCAGAGUUACAACUAGAUCGAUAAUAAAGUAUCUACGAAUCUAAAUCCCUCCGGAUUCCCAAUCUCCCGUUCGCCGACGAUCCACAAGAAGACGACCCAGGCGCAGGCGGCGACGGUGGCGACGACCAUCCCAACGACAAAUGUGGCGACAGUCAGCCUGGUGGUGUGAGGUGACUGGUCGUACAGGUAGACAUCGAUCAGGACCAUGCCACGACGGUGAGCAAAAGAGUCAGGACGCCCACGAGCACGAUGACCACCCACCUGCCGGCCUCCUCGGGGUCCGUCGUCGCCACGAGCUGCUCGUCCAGGAGGUUCUGGUUCUCCAGGUCGUUGGCCAUCAGGCAUCCACGAUCCACCUAGCUAGCUAGUUUGAUCGAUCUUCUUCACUGCUUCGUGACCGUUCACAAGAAUAUAAUCGUUUUUUUAGAGAGAACGUAUUAUCGUGUAUAUUUGGUUCCACGAGGCUAAGCUGUAUCCGUUUCAGUUUGCACUUACAUUUUUUUUUAGGUGAAAGUUUGCACUUACAUGGGUAAGUUUUUUCAGUUACAGUACUAUACGGACGACGAAUCUUGUACAUAGGGCCGAAAUCUAUCCGUAGGGCCCAAAGGCUGUUCAGCGCUUAACGGGCUGGUUAAAGUGUAUUCGUACGCAGCGCACCCAUUCUGAUAAAUCGGCCGGCCCAUACUAGUCUCGCCUUGACCAGUUUUUUUUGUUUGAGAAACACAUGUAACUUUAUUCAUACUCACCAGUUUUGAGAACCUUCUAGACCUCCAAUUUGUUUCGGGCUGGUCUUCUUCGAUUUCGGACAGGUUUUUUUUCCUUGUUUUCAACUUUUAUAUAUCUUUUUCUUUUUCAAUUUUCCUUCUUCUUCUUGGUUUGUUCUGUUUUUUUAAUUCAUAUUCUCUUUUAAAAUUUACAUUUUCUAAAUUCAUCUAGCUUUUUCAUAUCCACGAACAUUUUUCAAGUUAUGGUAGUUUCUCAAACUCAUGAAAUCUUUCAAAAUUUUAAACUUUUCUAAAUGCGUGAACUUUUUUUCAAACUCGUUAACUUCUUCAAAUGUGUGAACUUUUUCAAAUUGUUGAAACUAUUCCAACUCCACCAACUUUUUUUAAUCUGCGAAUAUUUUCAAAUCCAUUGCAUUUUAAAAUUCCUAAACUUUUUUCAAAUGUGUGAAAAUUUUAAAAUCCACAAACUAUUUUUAAAAACCAUGAAACUUUUAAAAUUCAUGCACUUUUAAAAUGCGUGAACUUUUUCCAAAUCCGUGAACAUUUUUCAAAUUCAUGAUUUGUUUUCAAACUCAUGAACUUUUUCAAAACCAUGAACUUCUCAAAUCCGCAUUUUCUUUCAAAUUUGUGUACGGCAUUAAAACUCGUAACUUGUUUAUUAUUUUACACUUUUUUAAAUUCAUAAACUUAUUUUUUACAAAAGUCAACGGCCAAAUGGUGUGAUCAGUGGCCGUUGUACUCACAUUGGUGAACGAGCCAGCGAAUGGAGCCUAACUGAGCAAACGAGGGCGCUGGUGGGUGAGCCCACGCGAGCGGCCGGGUGGGUGGUGGUUGGCCGAGCACUGGGAGCUUUUCUAUUCGGCUCCCUGGCAUCCACACAACGGCCCAUGUACACGGUUGCAUUUGAGAAAAAAAAAGAAAAAAAC